rnacentral:lncRNA from 1 species
AUAAUAAUAAUAAUAAUAAUAAUAAUAAAGUAGUUCGAUAAUUUUUUAUUUAAAAAUUUAAGUCGUUAAAAAAAUAAUAUUUUAAUAUAUAUAUAUAUAUAUAUAUAUAUUAUAAGUUGAGUUGGAAUGCUAUCGAUAGCAAACGGGCUACAUUGUCACCUAUUUAUUUUCGAUGAUGAAGCCUCCAAAUCGACGAUCGGCACCGUUGAACAUAAUCUAUACCACUUAAAGUGUCUAAAAACCAAAUUUCAAAUCUUUUCGACAUUAUUAGCCUAAUGAUCAAAGGGUUUUGAAAAUUAUAAUUUUAAUGAUAAAUAUGAGGCAUUUUCUCGUUUAACGGUGUAAAACUAUCCAAAUCAAUUGAAUUUUCGUUAGAAAAUUCUUUAAACUAUUUAGAACAAGAUUUAUACUCUCGAUCUUGAUUAUAAAAUUUCUAUCAUCAUUUUUUUAAGAAUAUUUAUUUUCAGCCGUUCAUUUUUACACCCACUUGAUAGACAAGAGAAUAAUAUCGGAAAAGUAUAAAAUUUGAUUUCUAGAUACUUCAAGUGGUGAUAUCAUUUUCAACGAUACCGAUCGUUGAUUUGGAGCCUUCAUCAUCGAAAAUAAAUGGGUGGCAACGGAGACGGUUUGUUACCGAUAACAUUCCAGCUAAACUCUAUAUAUUAUAUUUAAUAUCCAAAAGUGUUACUAGCUGUAUGUAUGGUCAUCUAUUCAUGAAGGAAUUAUGUUUCAUAUCAACCAAACCAUUAUUAUGAAUUGGCCCAGAGAAAUAUUUAGUGCUUGUACAACAUAAAAGUUCCAACUAACCUCUAUCGUAUAUUUAUACGUACAUCUAAAAAAUUUAAAAUAAAUAAAUGUUUUCAUUAAAAUACGUAUAAAAAAGUUAUACGUAUUUUAAUAAGGUCACGUGCCAAGCACGCGAUUGGUGAAUAGGUGCAAAACAUGCAUGUGAUACAGCCAAAGUACACGGAUCCAAAUCUGAUACGCACGGAAAUUGAAGGACUUAAAUCAUGAUAUUAUUGUUUACUAAAGAAACAAAUUAAGAAGGUGUAAUUAAUUAAAAUAAUAUUAAAACAUUAUUUUCCCUUAGUUUCUGGUUUUAGAUAAUUUGGUUGAGUGUUGGAUUUAAAACAUUAAACUGCUAUUCACGGCACUACAACAGAAUUAGAUUAUAGGGACACAUGUUUGAGACACUUUUGAGUAAGUGUCCCAUUUAUGCUAAAACUUAAAAACACAUCUACUAAUGCCUAAAUAUAAAGCCCAAUCCAACUAAAAAUAAAAGAUUACUCUACUCAACCCACCACACCUAGUCCAUUUGGCCCGAUUACAAACAUAAAUGAAAAAAAAAGAAAAAUCAAUUACCAUCUUUUCUUCUCUCUUCACUUAAUCCACUGAAAUUCUAGACAAAGAGUCUUUAUUGUCGUCCUCCUCCGCCACCGUAGCCAACGAGAUAGAGUUUCGGCGGUUGCUAAAUGCUUAAAUAAGUGUUGGUAAAUUAGCAGCACUUUUUUAGCUUAUAGCGACACUCUUUAACUGUCACUAUAUACCUAGCGACCCCACAUAUAGCAACACUUUUUAACAGUGUCGGUAAUUUUAGCUAACAACACUUUUUUGACAUGUACCUGCAUUUAAAAGUGUCGCUAUAGACCAUUUUUGAUAUAGUGCGGGUUAAGAUUUUGCUUGAUUAGAAAAUAAUAGUAAUAAAAGAAUUUUAAUUUAUUAUGAGUUGAUAAAAUUGAAUUUGAUCAAAUUUAAUUAGUGAAUGGUGAUCGAAUUGAGUUUAACUCCUUGUCAAGAGUAAUAUUAAUCCUUUUUGGAAGUCACAAUUUUGGUAACUUAUUUUUCUUUGUUUAUGUUGUUGUUGUUGUUUUUUUUUGUUUGAAAGCAUAGUUGUGUAGUAUUAGGCCCUUUAUAUAUUUUUAUUACUUUGGUUCGUAUUGUACAUCAAGGGAAGAAGAAGAAGAAGAAGGGAAAGAAAAAGAUAAAAAUUCCGUUCAGGAGAUACACAAUAGUGACUAAUUUAACAAUAAAUGCAUUUUUAUCUUGAAAAAUUCAGAUUCUACCGUUUGUUUCCAAAAUUGUAUUCUGAUUCUUAUUUUAAGAUCAAUUUCGAAAAACCCUAAACCGCUCGAAAUCAAAUCAAACUUUUAUUUCUCGUUCCAAGUUAUUCGACUUUGAUUCGGAUUAAGUUUAAUCACCAAUAUUUGCACACACACACACAUCCUAAAUGUGUUUGGAAAAUAUUUGUGUUCUAAAACUGGUUUAGUUGAUCUAUCAAACGAAGACCACAUUCAACAAAUGUAUCAAUUAAAGCUCCCUUCUCAAAUUAAGUGUAAAAUAAAUUAGAAGAAAUAAAAAAUUCAUUAAUGUGAUAGCUAUGCAAUUGGUUGAAUAAUCCCUUUUAUAACUUAUCUCUCUUGGGUGUAACUAAGUAAACAUUUGUUUUAGUAACAUACUCAAAAAAAAAAGUAUUUGUUUUAGUAAUAUGUUAAAAGAAAAGAAUAUGUUUUAGUAAACCUAGACAAUGAAUAGAUCAUGAUCAUGAUUAAAUUGAUCACAUAGUUUAUGAAUUGUUCAACGUAUCGUAAACUUGCUAACAAAUUUCAUAAUCAUUGACAUUAAUUAAAUUAGAAUUGGUGACCUUUUUUUUUUUUUCUUCCUGUGGACUUUUUUCCAACUCUUUUAAUUAAGCAAUCCAAACAAGUGACCAGAUCAAAACACAACUACUAUAAUUCACUGUGGCUUGUGAGCUCCAAUCAUAUAUGGCUAAGGUUUUAGUGAGAUAUAAAAAAUUAUCACAAAACAAUGCAAGUAAACUCCCAUUUAAUUAGGGCUUGAAUUAAUGCACCAAACAAAUAAUUGCAUGGAUUGCAUGCAUGCACCUAUGUUUAUAAAUUUUCCCAAAAACCAAUGUAUGAUGUGGUCUCCACACAAAUCAAAUCAAAUCAAAUGACAUAUACAUUGUUGCUUGAAUUAUCAAUGUAGACUAUAUAUAUGUACAUGUUAUUAGAAUUUCUUUUUACGCGCGGCUAAUGCAUUAUGCUCGAAUUCGGAUUAACUGAGAUAGAAACAUAAGUACCAAGUCGAACUGAAUAAUCAUUGUCUCCAUUUAGAUUCUUAUUAUUGAGCCUCUCCUAAGUUGAUGCCACAAACAUAGAGACAAAGCCCCCUAAAAAAAGAAAAGAAAAAGCCCUAUGCAAAGCUCCAUUAAGUACAAAUAUCUCUCCCACUAUAUUACAACUAGAAGAGAUACCACCUAUGCCAAAAAAAUGAAAAAGAUAGAUUUGAGGGGGAGACCAUACUACUUAGAGUUACAUUAAAGAGUAAUAUCUUUUACCUUUUUAAUCUCGACGCAUCUCCAGAUUCACGAGAUUACUGGGGUGAGAAUAUAAAACGCGAACCGUACCAACUGGAUCGAGCAAUAUUCGCUUAUUUUCGUAUGAUUAGCAUUCGAUCUCAGUUUUAUUUAAGUACAUUGCGCAAUAAUCUUGUUCAUGUGACCUCUAAUCUUGUUCAUGUGACCUUAAGUAGAGGAACAAAUGAGAGAAUAUAUCAUCUUCGAUCAGAUUCUAUGUAGAGAACCAGUAGAUAUGUCACUAAUGUUGCAUGAAAAAUAUCUAUAUGUGGAUUUUCACUAAUUAUUUAGUGAAAUGACUGAAAGGAAGAUAAUAUAUUGUAAAUGUGAAUAGUUACGCUGAACAAGAAAAUAUUUUACAAAAAAUAUUCCACACUUGUGGAGUUCUUCUUUGUUUUUCUUUUAGAGAGAAAAAUUACACGCUACAUGUUUCAUUUAUUUUUUUAAAAAAUAACCUUAAAUAAAAAUAUGAAGCGGCUAGGCUAAAGAAGAAACAAAAUGGCAUAAUUUAAAAAAUUGCAGUGUAAAACUUUUGCCAUUGCCUAAUUAAUCCUAACAUACUACAGUUGAGUUGACUAUCAACUGUUCAUCCUAAGAUCAAUACUUGUUUAUGAACUCUAAAUUUCUUUUAUCUUUUUUUUGGUUACCUAAUUGCAUUAUAGUCCCUAAACUUUUAGUAUAGUCCCAUUUCAUCCUCAAAAUUUUAAAAUUUAAAUUAUUUCAUUUUAGUCCCCACGGUCUAUUUUAACUAAAUGGUAUUGUUAGAAAAUAGGGUAAAAGGUAGAAAUUUUUUUGUUUAGUGAAAUUUUACAGAGCUGAUCUAAACUUUGGGUUACUUGAAAAAAGCUAUCCAAUUUUUCAAUAUUUUGAUUUUACUAUGCGAACUUGUAAAUAAUUCGAUUUUCCUUAUUAAAUGCAAUUCCCUACACCUACUCUAUUCGAAUAUUUGUUCACCCUAUCUUAAUUUUGUUCUUUUGAACGCAUAUCAUAUUGGUAACUCGAUCAACCUCUCAAUUUUUAACCAAAAAAACUAUAACAUAUUGGAGGGUAGAGAUUGAACAAUCAAAUGAAACGACUAACCAAUAAACAACUAAAAUAAAAAAAAUAAAUAAAAAUGAAAGGUUAGUUAGAGUAAAAUCAAAAUUUUAACAAUUAGAUAAUCAUUUUCAAAUGUUCUAAAAGUUACUCGCAUGCAUUAAUUUUUACCUUUUUCCAAAGUUUAUGAUUAUCUAGUCAUUGGCCUUCGCCAUGCUUCUAUAUAUAUGUUUAAAUGUUAUUUAAGUUUGUUCAAAGUACGUACGUGAAGAACGUUUCUGCUGAAACAAAUGUGAUUGCCUCAACAAAUUAAUAAUUCCUUUAUUUCAUUCUUUCUCUAUAUGCAAUCUCUGCUGCAAAAUCGGACAUGAAAAUUUCUUCUCAUCCAACUCCUCGCGAAUGAAAGGAUUCAAAUUCAAUAAUAUUAUAGAUACACAUUAAUAGAUAAUAUGUACACCAAGUAAUAAUUUUUAUUACUGUUUAAUUUUUUACAUAAAAAGAAAGAUGUAUAAAUAAAUAAGACAUGCAAGCUCGAUGUGCGUGUAUAUUUAUGCAUCUUAAUUUAUAGAUAAUAUACCUAAUGCUUCUCUUCUUUUUAAGUGCAUACAUUUUCACUUUAUAUAUAUAUCUAUAGUAUCGGAGCUUCGAUACUAUAGUCUCGUUUUUGAUAUUAGGAUGUUCAAAUCAACAAUCCACACCAUUAAAACUGAUCUAGUACGUGUAUUUAAAGUUUUUAGAAAUAAAAUUUUAUAUUUUUUCGACAUAGUUUACUUUAUGAUCAAAUCAUUUCAAAAUUGUCAAUUUUCAAUGGGUACUAUGGCGAGUUUGGAGUUUAACGGUGUAGAAGAAUCUAAAUUUCUCCAAAUUUUGAUAGAAAAUACUUUAAACUAUUUAGAUUAAGGUUAACAUUCUUGAUCUUAAAUUUAAAAGUCUUAUGCUCAAAUUUUAAAAAUUAUUCAAUUUCCACCGUUCAUUUUGACAUAAUUUAUUUACUAAGUAAACAAUGUCGAAAAAAGCUAAAAUUUUAUUCCUAAGUACUUCAUAUACCCUAAAUUAUAUUUAACGGUGUGGAUCGUUAAUUUGAACACCCUAAGAUCGAAAACAAGACUAUAGUACCGGAGCUCCGGUACUAUAGAUAGUAUAGUAGCCUAAUUAUUAAUGAUAUAUAUAUAAUAUAUAUAUAUAUUAUAAUAUUAAUAUAGAAUUAGGCUACUAUGCUAUUAAUAGCACCAAGUCAUUGUGCUACAAGUUUUUGGCCAUUGGAUUAAGAGAUGUGCAGUUAGGAUGAUGUGGGCCCUUUAGGGUUGAGUGGGUGGUUGGUUGAAUAGUAUGAUCUAACGGGUAAAAAUGAUCAAAAGGAUAGAUCUAACGGCAGAAAACUUGGUAGCACCAAGUGCUUCGUGCUAUUAAUAGCAUAGUAGCCGGACUCUAUAUUAUAUUAAUUAUAUAUAUAUAUAUAUAUAUAUAUAUAUAUAUAUAUAAUUGAGCUCCUAUGCUUUUAAAAGUCCCAAGUUAUUGGUGCUUGUAAGUUUUCGGCUCUUGGAUUAAAGGAUGUGCGGUUAAGAUAAUGUGGGCCCCCUAGAGUUGAGUGGGUGGUUGGUUGAAUAGUAUAAUCUAAUGGGUAAAAAUGAUCAAAGGCAGAGAUCUAACGGUAAAAAAUUUACAAUUACCAAGUGCUUGGUACUUUUAGAAGCACCAUAGCCGGACUCUAUAGAUAUAUAUAGAGAGAGAGAGAGAGUAGGGCUACUAUACUAUUAUGAGUAUUGGGCCCUUCGUACUCAUAAGUUGUUUUCGAUGAUGGAGCUUUCGAAUCGACGAUCCACUCCGUUAAAUAUGAUCUAAAGUAUUUGAAACUUCUAGAAAAAAAAAUUCGUAAUUUUUCGAAAUCAUAAUAAAGUCCAUCAAGCAGGCAUAAAAUGAACGGUCAAAAUCGAACGAUGUCUUAAAAAUGAAUGAUCGGAUCCUUCAAUUUAAGAUCGGAGUUAUUGACCUUUAUCUAGAUAGUGAAUAGAAUUUUCUAUCAAAAAUUCAAUCUAUUCGGAUUCUUUUGCACCGUUAAACUAGCAAGUAUUCCAUACCGGCCGUUAAAAACUGUCAAUUUUGUGAGCUUUUGAUCGUAAGUAAUAUGAUGUCGAAAAAUUAUGAAAUUUGAUUUCUAGAUGUUUCAAAUGCUCUAGAUCUACGUUUAACGGUGUGGAUUGUCGAUUCGGAAGCUCUAUCAUCGAAAACAACUUAUGAGUACGAGGACGAUCGUACUCAUAAUAGUAUAGUAGCCGGACUCUAUAUAUAUAUACUAGUUGAGCGUACGUGGAAAUGCACGUAACAAUUAUUUUAAUUUAUUUUAAAUCAGUAAAAAUUUGUAAAUCAUAUUUAUUAAAAAAUUUAGAAUAAAAUAUUUUAUAAAUUGAUAUGUUAUAUUUUAUUAAAACAUAUCUAUAAUAUCAAUUUUAAAUUUUAAUAUAAAAUAGAUUGAUAGAUUUGAUAUCCAAAAUCAAAAAUUAAAUUUAAUUCACGAUUUAAACUCAAAUUUAAAUUUUAAUGUAAAUUAAAUGGAUAGAGUAUAUUAAUAUUCUGGCAAAAAUUUGGAUAACCAUGAAUUUAUUUCUAUUUUAGAGAUAAAAAGAAAUUAAGCAAAUUUUGAAUUAAAAUAUAGAUUAACAAUAGAUAUCUUUCAGUUGGCAAAAUUUGAAUAAGUAUGCAUAUUUUUUAUUUUAGAGGUAAAGAUAAAUUAAAAGUUUAUUUUAUUAUGUUAUUUAUUUUACGUAAGGAAAGAGGAAUCAAAUUUUUUUUCCACCUAAAAAUGGGUCUACCGACAUAUUGAAAUUUGAAAUACGUGCUAGAUAGUAUAGAUAUUAUAUUAUAGUUAGAGAUAAAAACGAAUUAAAUAAAAAUUCACAGUAGAUAUUCUCAGAUUGGUAAAAAUUUGGAUAAACAUAACUUUUUUUAUGUUGUAGAAAUAAAGAGGAAAUAAAAGUUUUUUUAAUUCUAUUAUUUAUUUUACGUAAGAAAAGAGGAAUCAAUUUUUUUUUCCGCCAAAAAAUAGAUCUGCCGACAGAUCGAAAUUUGAAAUAUAUAUAUAUAUAUAUAUAUAUAUAUAUAUAUAUAUAUAUAUUUGGUUGAUUCAUGGUUUAUUUGCUGUCACGAUCUUUACAGCAGGGUACGUAAUUUAUAGGACGGUGCAAAAUGGUUCUUUUACGCGAAUAAUUAUGUGUUGUAAUUAAUGCUUCUUCCUGGAAAAUAAUAGAGUUUGACUACGUAUCAUUGCAUGGUACACCGACAAGGAAACACGUAGGUAGGUUUACGCUUAAUGGGCUCGAACUUACAACAGUAAUGUUCUCGUGGACACUUUAAUUUGAACCCUUUAUUUACUAACUCUCGCAAAUAAUUUGAAUUAAAAUAAACAAAAGUAAAAAAUUAUUGUUAAGAAAGAAACGAUUAAAGAAUAUAUGUGGACACGCUAUAUCGCAUAGAAUGUAAUUAAAAUUUCUAACUAAACAAGCUUUGAGAAUCACUAGAUAAAUUAAGGUCGCUAGCUGAUUUGCGUGAUAAUACGAAAUAAAAACUUGUUAAAAAAAUAAAUUUUAAAUUCAAAACUAUGUAAAUUAGCUGGGAGUGUUUUGACACGGUUUAUCAUGCGUGGUACGUCUAAAGGAUACGCAUGUUGUCCUAUUCAAUAUUAUACGCGAAGUAAAAUACUAUUUGUACACCCUCUAGAGUAGGGUGUGCAUACUUGUUACUUAUCACAUGAAAGUAAAAUUUAUAUUCGUAUAUUGCACCGUCAAAAUUAAAAUUUAUAUUCGUAUAUUGCACCCUCGAAAAUUUAUAACAUAAGAAACUGCCAAACAAUAUUAAAAGUAGCAAUAGCGGUAAGCUCAACUAUAGGUUUCAAACACUCUUUCUUCAAAUAAUUAAUGUAACAUAUACUUUAAAUAUUCUUGAUCUAUAAUGAUAUACAUGUUAAAGAUAGUAAUUUUUUUUUUUAUCUAUUUAGUUAUAGAAAAUCUGCCUGUUUAUUUAAUUAUUUUAGUUAUAUUAUAUGUAUUAAUCGCUUGAAUACAAUUUAAAUAAAUAAACAUAUCAAAUCUAAAAAAUUUGAGGACAAAAAUUUGAGAGAAAGAUCGUAAAAAAAGGGUUGAGUUUAUGUACUUUAAUUUGGAGGUCGAGGGGAGAAAAUUUUCUUCUUAGGGAUGUUAUUUAAAUCAGUGAACUCAUUCUUAAUUUCUUUAAGGAAUGCUUAUAAUUAGCAACUUCGUCCUUUCGCGAAGGGAUGCUUAUUUUUAAAAAAUGUGAAAAACUUCAUGUUAUUUACAAAUUCUCUCAGUAAAAUUUAUAUUUUUUAUAGAACGGAUUGAUGUGGCUUCAUAUAUGGUCCCGAAAUUUCACAUUUUAUUUAUAUUAUUAUAUUAGAUUAGAUUACCUUGCCUUUUAAACAAUCGUUAUUUUUAAUAACGAACUAAACAUAGUUUUAAAAAACGUGAAUAAGCAUAGACAAUGUUAAGUUGUGUUUUUGUACGCAUGCAUAUAUAUAUAUAUGUAUAGUAACUGCUUCUAGUGUUGCAUAUUGAUCGAGACGAACCACAUUUGAGAUUUGAGCUCGAAAUUGGAUUUGGGUUUAGAUCGGAUCCUUUCGUACAUGAUCUGAUUUAGCGUCCCACAACUAUUAUUAUUAUUAUUUUUGCGUAGAGUUUGGAUCCAUCUCGAUCACGAUUGAGAUGUGGACUUUGGGCUCGCAAUUGGAAUUGGGUUUGGAUUUGGAUAAAUAGAAUUUGGAUCCCUCUUAGAUUUGGUUGGGUCCAUUUAUGCUUCAAGUUGAAGUCGUAGUACAUGAUUUAAUAUUAUUAUUACUAUGCGUGAAUGGUGUGGAAUUAUUAAGAUGAUGAUUGCUAGGAGCCAAAUAUCGCACAUGAUUGGUCAGUUAAAGAAUUUCUCAAUCUAAUAAAAUUACAAAAAGUGAUCAAAGCACUGAUGGAAAUUUGUGGGUAAAAUGUUCGAUUUAUAAAUCUAUAAUUUAAUUUGUCAUCUAUUUAGACCAAAUAUGGUUUGUGUACAUAUUAUCCUAAAACAUCUUCUUUGUCAAAAAAAAAAAAAAAAAAAAAAAAAAAAAAAAAAAAAAAAAACUUUGAAAGCAUUAUAGAAGAGUUAUUUUUUUUGAUAUUCUAAAUGGUGAUAAGAAGCGCCAUGGGAAAAGCAUUCAUCGGAUAUGAUACUUUCAUUUCACUAAUGUAAAUAUAUAAAUGAUUCAACCUAAUUUAAAUGGAUAGCUUUAUUAGUUUCUAAAAUGUAAACAUUAAUUUAUUUAAGUCCUUCAAUUCUAGUUUACUUGAGUAAUUUUACCAGCUCAUGACAAAAAAAAAAGUAAAAAAAAUAUUCUAAUAGAAACGAUUAAACUGACUAGUCAUCUGUUAUACAGACAGCAUCAUCCAGCCACUCAUUUUUUUACCACUAUUUCAUUGUAUAAGAAGAAAAAAGAAAAAUUAAAAUUCUUCCAAAUUAGCAAUUGUUCCUGGUGCAAGUGGUAAAAGACUUGAUGGUUGGUAUCCGAAGUCUCAAGUUCGAAUCCUAGUUGAUUCACAUUUUCAACUAAAUUUAUUUUUAAAUAAAAUAAACGAAAUAGAUAGCAUGCUAUCCAUCUCUCUCAAAAAAAAAAUUCUUUCAAAUUCUUCCAACUCUUUAAACCAAAUUUUCUAAAUUAGACCUUCUUAUUUAAAAAAAAAAUCCAAGACCUGGUACGUGAGCCUUUUUGCACAAACCUCACUUCCCCCCCCCCCCCCCCCCCCCGCCCCCCAAAUAUAAAAAAAAAAAGAAAUAAAAAAAGCUCUGUCCUUUCUUAUGAGCAUAGUAGUUGCUUUGUCUCUUCUCUAUCUCUAUCUCUCUCUUCUCUCUCUCUCUUCUCUCUUCUCCUCCGUAACGCACUCCACCCACCAUCUCCAUUUCCCCCACCUCCCUCCUCCCUCCUCCCUCCUCUUCGAUCUCCCGCGCUUUCCUCUCUCUUCUCCCGCCAUAAAAAUGGCUUCUUGAAACCCCUUCAUCAACUCCACCAUUACCAUUCCCCAUUGCCGGUGCGUUCUCUCUCUCUCUACCUCUCCAAUGGUGGAUUCCAACGCCAACAACAACAACAACAACAACAACAACAACAACAAUCACACAUCCGAAGAAGCCCCAAGAGACCCCGGGGACGCUGCGGCCGCGGCAUCGUCGUCGACGACGACGACGACGACGACGACGAGGAUUGCGUUUGCGUUGGCCCGAGACGAGCCGUUCCUCUCCGAGUCGGAGGACGGCUACGUCGAGCUCCAGCUCUCCAGGGAAUGCUCCAUCUACGCCGCCGCCGCCGCCGCCGACCGCCGCGGCUCCUCCGCCCCCUGGAUCGCCGCCGCGCGCCCCGCCGUUAUCAAUUGGAUUCUCCGAGUGCGUCUCGUCAAUCCCCCCACCCUACCCAAUUCCCACCCCACCUCUCCCCCAGUUGCCUCAUCUAAUCCCCAAUCUCUUCUUCUUCUUCUUCCUCCUCUCAGUGCGCCGCCCACUUCGCCUUCGGCCCCUGCACCGCCUUCGUCGCCGCCGCCUACUUCGACCGCUUCCUGCGCCAAGAAAACAUCGACGUGAGCAAGCUAAAAAAGACAAUAAAAAUCCAAUCUUGAUCAUCUCCCUGCUCUCAAUUCUCCGAUUCCGAUUCCGAUUCCUGUAAAUUGAGCUGAGUUUGUGUUAUAUAUACAUAUAUAUGCAUACACCACAUACAUUUUACUUGUGUCGAUAGGAGCGGCCGCAAUGGGCGCUGGAUUUGCUCAAGGUGGCGUGCGUGUCGCUGGCGGCGAAGAUGGAGGAGCGGAGCCCGACGCCGCUCCCUGCCAUCGCCCGCCGCGACGAGCACCAAUUCGGCAGCGCCGCGGUCCAGCGGAUGGAGCUCUUCGUGCUGCGGGCGCUGCGGUGGCGCAUGUGCUCCGUCACCCCCUUCUCCUUCCUCUGCUACUUCGCACACAAGUUCUUCGACAAAGGUUAUGUAUCGGAUCACCUGCUGCUGAGAGCUGCUCAGUUCAUCUUUGUAACCAUCAAAGGUGGGUCAUUUGGUGGUUCUCUCAAUCGGGUCUUGCGUAAAGGCGCGAUCUUUUCGAGUCUCCUUACAUGUUUGGUGACGGUUGGUUCAAUGCAGUGAUGAAUUUGGCUGUUACCGCGGCGUCGAGCAUCGCGGUGGCGGCGGUUUUCGCCGCCGCCGACGGCAGCUUAACCCGGGAUUUGAUAGAAUCCAAGGUGACAUCCAUUGUUGACUCAUUACCAGAACCAUUAGACCCUGUGAGUAGUUUACACUGCUACUACAAUUGGAAUAUGCAUUGAUCAUCCUGUUGUUCUUUUUCUAUAAUUUUUGGGUUUUUCUCCAAACUUUGUGGAGAGUAAUGAGUGAAUGCAGAGUGUUAUUGCUCUGUGUUGCAGGAAGGCGUGUUUUCCUGCUACAGUGUGAUGAUUCAAGAAGCAUGUAAGGAGGAGCCUAAACCAUCAAAGGAAUUGGAUUCCUCUUUAUCAAAUCCCCCAGAAGCUAAUCAUGCCAACAAUGAUGAUUCUACUGCUGCUAAUAAGAGGAGAAAGUUGGAAUAGAAAAAAAGGAAGAAAAAAAAAAAAAGGAUUCUAUGAGUAAUUUUGAAGAGGAGGACCCAGGCACUUUUUUUUUUAUUUUUUAUUUUCUUUAACAUAAAGUUGUUAAUGGGGGCAUCAUGAUUCUUCUUUUUCAAUUGAGUUUUAUAUCAGGCUCAUUGGUUAAGCUUGAAAAAAGGUUUUGGUUUUUGGAGGAGCCUUUUCCACACUUACUGGUGUGUGAAAAGAAGGGAAAGGGGAGAAGAGAAAGGCAAAAGCUAUACAGCUCAAAGUGAAAAGACUCCAAAAAGAAAAAAAAAGAAAAAAAAAGAAAAGUAAAAGAAAGGCUGACUUAAGAAAGAAAGCUAGUAGGAGAUCAGUAGAUCACUAUCCAAGGGCAAAGGAUGAGUGAUUGUUGUGAAUAGGAUUUGGGAUUAGUCCUUUUUGUGUUUGGUAGCCCUUCUGUCAUUCAUUCAUGAACAACUUUACCCAUAUAUUUGUUUUAAUUCCUUAAUUUCUUCUUCUUCUUCUUUUUUACCUUAUCUUUUCCUUUUGCCCCCCCUGUGUGUUGUGUUGAGGCUAAUUGGGUUUCAGUGGAAGGGAAAAGAGUCUGGUUUUGUAUCUUUUGGAACUGUCCCUAGAGCUAUCCAUUUUGGUAGAGGAGCUUGGGAUGUGUCCUUAUAAGCAAAUGAGAGGGUGUUGGUUGUAAUUCUGAAGAUAUGUAAGGUUGGUUAAUGGAAAUGUAAUUGGAUUAUUGUUGGAUGGUCUUUGUUUUUCUAAUGCUGCUGUUUCCUGCUGUGUAUCAAAUAAGAAGCAACCUUUGUUGUUGGAACUUAUGAUAACUGGUUCAUGGAGGUGAUAAGUAACUGUUUGUUUUGUCUCCUUUUACUGCCUUGAUUUGCUUCAUUAUUUUUUAUUCCGGGCAUUUUAUGGAUGGGAAUCUAAUGGUGAUUUUGGACUACAGCUAUAAACUGAAAAGCAGCAAGAACUAAAACCAGAGGUGAAGGGGACUUCAACUGCUCAGAAUCCUGCAAAUAUCAGAUAGCUCCAUAUGAAUGUCCACAAUAAGAGCAUUAGUAAUAUUAUCCAAUAUUACCCACUGGCAAAUAGAUUAGCCUCACAUUAAUGUAAACCCAUAUAAUAAGAUCAUUAUCCAAUUGUGGUCCUAAUGUCCUAAGGUCAUAUAAGAGAAAUUUAGAAAGAGUUCUAUCCUUGGCAUAUUUGUAUAAAGUAGUUUUUUCGAACAAAACUUAUGUAGGGAGCCUCCUCAUGGUGGGAUUGUCUAAUCUGCCUUCCAUAACAAGCAGCGCUCGAAUCUUGAUCUAGCCUCACAAGUUAAGAAAAUGCACCUAUGACAUACAAGUUAAGAAAAUGCACCUAUGACAUUCCAAGCCUAAGCAGACAACUAACGUGUAUUUGGAAUAACUUAUUUAAAAAAGUAGCUUGCUAGAUGUUUGGCAAAAAAAAAAAAUCUCAAUCUUUUGCCUAUAAAAAGAGGCCAUUGCAUGCUUUAAUAGAACAUCCAAUUUGAAGCUUUUGCUUCUGUUGGAUUUGUUUCUGCUUUAGCGAAAAGCACCAACCAAACAACUCUUCUGCAGAAACUCGCUCAAGUUAAAUAUGCUUAAAAUGCCUUCUGCAAUGGCCUAUAUAGUGCAGGCCAACUUCACCAACUGUGUAAGAGAUGGUUACAAACUAUCUAGUAGCUUCACCUACUGUGUAAGAGAUGGUUACAAAGUAUCUAGUUAUGGUUGUUAGGUCUCUGCAUGCAAUAGAGUGGUGGGCUCACUCAACCAUCCCAAAGCCUCAAUUUCACCCUUCACAGAUUUAAAAAAAAAAGAAAAGCUACAAAAGAAAGAAUAUGAAGCUACAAAAGAAAGAAUAUGAAAUAGGACUGGUAAAAGCUAGGGGGUGAAAGGACUUCCUCAGCUUCUCCCACCAGCUGCUAAGCUUCUUUUGUGAGGUAUUCUCAGCUGGUGCAGCAUGUGAGUGCUUUACUGUCUUUUACUUACUUCAAGGUGGAAUCCAUGUGUGAGCCCUCCAUUCCUUAGACAGUUGGUGUGGAAAAUUUGAGAGCCCUCCAGCUAAUUUAAUCCUUGAUCACAGGGCUGAAAAUGGUCUUCCUCUUCACUCACUCUAAAACUUAUUGCAUGCACCUGAUCUACGCAUCCAUACACAGCACGAUGUUUACCGUCCAUCUUAUCUUAUAUUUCAAUCUCUACCGUCCUGUGUUUUCUACUUGAAAAAUUGAUUUAUAUGGUUGGACUGAAAGUAUGAAAUAAGAUCAAGAAUGAAUUUUCCUAAAGACUAUUCCUAUUUUGUCUGACCACGAAGAGAUUAUUUGGUUAUAUGGCAUCAAGACUGAUUGUAGACCCUCUUGGUUCAUUAAGAUAGUGUGGUUCUUUUUCUCGCAUCAACCAUUAAAAACAUUUGAGUCCCAUCUUUUACCUCUUCCUGUAUCUGUUUUAACAGCGCGGUAUUCAUAUAAGCAGGGAUGUUAAGACUAAUCUUGAGUUAUUUUCUACCAGAUCAAUCAAUUGAGGUAAUAGAUGGCGGUGCGUCGCGCUGAUAUAGAGCUAAACCAGAUGUAGGCAGUAACUCUCUCUCUCUCUGUCUCUCUCUGUCUCUCGAAGCAAUCAAAAACAGGCAGUAAAUACAUAUGUUGUGUAGAGGAGUACCACACACAAGUUUGGUAGUGAGUUAGUGAGUGGUACCUCCCUUUGCUGGGUUGGCUUGGCCUGGCAGAGCAGCAGCAGCAGCAGCAAGGAAAAGGAUAAAAUAAUGCUAGAGGCAGCUUGACCUGUUCAGUUGGAAUUUUACACAUUGAAUUGAGACCUGUGGCACCAAAACAAAAAAAAAAUAAAUAAAUAAAAGAUAAAAAAUAUGUUGCAUCAAAUGUUGGCCCCUGCGCCUUUUCCUUUGCAGCCCAAGUGAAGAGAGAGAAGCCACAGUAAAAUAAAGAAAGCACCAAAUCUACCAAAGCCCAAGAAGGCAAAACCUCACUUUGACUAGUCAACAUAAGUAUUUUCCAUGGGUCUUGUGAAUGAUGAACUGUCACACAAUAAUUAUUAGGGCUGUGGGGGUGAGUAGUUACAGUGUUAGGGUGAAGUACACAGGACAACAACAUUUUCUGGUGUAGUUUAUCAGAGGCUGUUGUAUAUGUCGAUUCAAUUAGUAAAAAGAAAAAAAGAAACUGAAACAUAAGAAUACAUCAGAAUCAUUGAGACUGAUCAGACUCAAUUAAUAAGCAGUAACUAAAUUUUUUUAAAAAAACUCCUAUCUGUUUGUCAAUAUUAAAACGAAACCACUUGGUCAGAUCCAUGCAUUAUUCUUCUCUUGGGCAAGUUUGCAAAAGAAACAUUACUCAAUUAAAGCGAGAAGGGAAUUACAUUGAGGCAGUGGCAGCUGUUGCCCAGCCUGAUAUAGUUUCAGCAUUACCAUGUAAACCAAAAAAAAGAAAAAAAGAAAAAGAAAAAUCCUAAUAGGGAGAUCUGACCCUUCUGAGUACAAUAUAUAGUUAUCAACUUGGGAUGGUUAGCUCUCAAAAGCACCAAAAAAAUGGGUAAAAAUGCACAUACAAUGAUCGUGAAGAGAAAAAUAGACAUUUUAGGAAAAAAAAAUUCCACACUCCUGCUAACUACAAAUUUAGUUUUCGUGCUACUACCGAUUUAUUAUUAGGCGUCAACAGGGAUUAAUUUAACUGCAGCAGCGAUAGGCAUGCUGAGAAAGCCGACGAAGAUGCUAGUGAACCACUGCAUAAAGGUUAGUGGGGUCGUGUUCGCAAAAUCUCCAAGGAAUUGGACGAUUAUAAAUUGGAAGAUGACGGUGCUCACAAUCACAGCCACGAAUACGCAGUUCUCCAAGAUGCCCUCGAAUACAUUGAUCUUCUCCAUCUCUCUGGAGCUGAUCUCAUUAAAAACCUGUGCAAGCAGACUCGGCCUUUAGCGGAAUCAAUUACUUAAAAAGUUUGAGCAUUAAGAACCUUUACCAUUAUUCUAUUCAGAAAAAAAAAAGAAAACGAUAGCAAAAUUCUUCAAUUUACCAUUCACAACAACGGUAAGAAGAAACAAUCCCAUAAUAACAGAGGAGAACCAUCGCAAGGAAAUUACCUGACAAAACACGAAAGAAUUGAAUAUAAGAGUAUUCAGUGUAGCAUCAGAGUUCAGGCCCUCAAGUCGAAACAGCCCUUUUCCUUCGGUCUGGAGAUACCAUAUCACGACAAACUGAUAUAAGGCUUGUCCUAGAAUAUUCCUCCACAUCACAUUGCUAAUGAAAUUUCCUUUCCUUCCGACUGGAGCUCUUUUCAUCAGAUCAUUAUUCGGCGGCUCAGUAGCUAACGCAAGUGCUCCAAGUGUAUCCAUGAUCAUGUUGACCCAAAGCAGCUGGACAGCAGUUAGAGGAGCAUUACCUAGGAAAUAAUUACACCAAAGGAAAAGAACUGUGAGGAGUAGCAUCUAAAAAUAGUAGGACAUUUUAGUAAAUGUAAAAUGGUAUUAUUUGUACCUGUUAAGCAUGCCGAAGAGAAAUUCACGAUUAGAGCUACCACAUUAACGGUUAGCUGAAACUGCACAAACUUCUGAAUAUUUAUGUACACAGAUCGUCCCCAUUUUCCCACGGUGACAAUAGUUGAAAAGUUGUCAUCGAGAAUAAUGACAUCAGCACUUUCUUUUGCCACCUGCAUAAAAGGAAAAAAAAAAGAAAAGAAAGAAAAAAGGAAAGAGAGGUUAGUGGUAAUAAAACUGGCAGAGACGAAACACAACAAAAUUCAGGAGAAGCAACAAGAACAAUGAUUCCAGUUAGCUGUGGAAAACAGGAAAAACUUGUCUAUACUCAUUUUAAGUUUUAUUUCUUGACACGAACCAAGUUUGCACAAGUAUGCGAGGACGUUGUACUAUAAUGUAAAGAAAAUGAAAAACUAGCAUAGAGCUUUAUAUAAUAAGCAGUUGAACGUCCAUCACAUGCUUGAAUGGUGUGUCAAGCUAAAGAUUGCAUGAUACAUCACAAGAAAUAGUUCCUUUACAUGGAUGGUCUGCAAUAAUUUGGCACGCCUAGAAUAGAAGUAGCAUGUUGAUAAAUAGGGUUCAAUAGGUCUCAAUACAUAAGUUACUGUCUAGUAGUUUGGUUGCUAGAUAGACAGCACAUAAAAGAUUUUCUGGAGUAAAAUAUGACAUCUCAGUUAGGACAUAGGAGGUUUUUAUACGUGCGAUCCUAAGCUUCAUAGAGCAUGGAAGAUAUAACUUUUUAUUUUCUCUGUUUGUUGCUGAAAUACGUGUUGCUUAUAUAGGUUAGCGUAAUGAAAUAUUACCUCAGUUCCUGCAAUACCCAUUGCAAGCCCAAUAUCUGCCUCAUGAAGAGCUGGAGCAUCAUUUGUACCAUCCCCAGUCACGGCAACAACUUCAUCGAAUGUGGUGCGCAGAUGCUUCACCAAGUUAUGCUUAUCUAACGGUGAAGAUCUAGCCAUCACCUGACAAUUGAACAAAAUAACAUGUUAAUUGAAUAAUAUUUCACAAAACAAGUAUAUUAGGUAAAAAAAUAAUAUUUAUCGUAGAACCUGAAGUUUUGGAAUCAAAGCAUUUAAUUCCUCUAGACUCUUUGUUCUGAAUUCUGGGCCUUCAAUAGCUAGCCCAUCAUCCGUAAGUAUCCCACAUUCUCGAGCAAUCGCUUUUGCCGUAUUUAUGUUAUCUCCCGUUACCAUUCGCACUGUAAUACCCGCAUUCCUACAAAUAGCAACCGAUUCCUUUACACCAGGUCGAACAGGAUCUUUAAUACCCACAAUUCCAAUACAAGUGUAUCCACUUAAAGGAAUUUGUUCCCCAACUGAGAAACCAUUUUCAAUCUCCAUAUACGCAAGGCAAAGAGUACGAAGUGCUUCAUUAGCAAAGCUUUCAAUUGUACCCUUGAGAUGACUAACCGCUGUUUCAUCAAGAGGAACAGCGUUACCUGUAGAGUCCAAUACUUUAUCACAAGCAGCCAAUAUAAUUUCCGAAGCACCUUUAGUAUGGGCAUGAUAUAUGCCUCCAGGAAGCUGAAGCACCACUCCCAUUCUCUUUUUCAGAGAAUUGAAAGGCUCAACCUUGAUAAGGCUACUUUCCUUGCGAACAACUUGAAAAUUUCCACCCAGUGACAGCCCAAAUUCUAGUAAAGCUGUUUCUGUUGGUGUUCCAAGAAUCUCAAGCUUACCAUCUUGGUUAGUCACAACCUCUCCACCAGUGUUAUUAAAUAUAGACUGCAGCAAAAUUUUCACAACAGAAUCUGGAAUAUCAGAGCAAAUACUAAUAGCUUCCUUAGAAUUACUUACUUCCUUGAUAUUUCCACAUACGCAAGCCUUUACAACAGUCAUGUGGUUGGUCGUUAGCGUUCCUGUCUUAUCACUACAAAUGGUAGUGGCUGAACCCAUAGUCUCACACGCUGCGAGGUGGCGAACAAGUGCUUUAUCGUUCAUCAUUUUUUUCAUGGCAAAAGCAAGGCUUAAAGUAACAGCGAGUGGAAGCCCUUCAGGAACUGCAACAACUACUAUAGUAACUGCGAUCGCGAAAAAUUCCAACAACUCCAAUGCAUCAUCUCCAGACCAGCUAAAGUAUGAACCAUCUCGGAAUUUAUGCCGGAUUAGGCCCUCACUUAACACUGCAAAUGUGACAACAGCAAAAAAUAGACCAAUUUUUCCGAUAAUAGUAGCAACUCCAUUCAAUUUCACUUGCAAUGGAGUUUCGUCAUCUCCACCUUCACUAAGUGUGGCCAUUAGCUUACCCCAUUGGGUUCUCAUGCCAACAGUGGUAACUAACAUUUUACAGGAACCAUCUUGAACCUUAGUCCCAGAUAGAAGGAAAGGAUUUUCUGUACUAACAGCCACAGGUUCACUCUCUCCUGUCAAACUGGAUUCAUUAAUUAAUAAAGAGAAACCGGAUAUGAACAAACCAUCAGUUGGGACCUGAUCUCCUAUAGCAAGGUGUACUACAUCACCAGGAAGAAGAUCAUAUAUUGAUAUCUUCUGUCGAAAUCCAUCUCGAGUAACUUGUAUAGAUAUUUUCUUUUUCUCCUUAUCCAAAUCCUUGAACUGCAAAGAUUGGCGAUAAUCACUUGUUGCUGUGACAAAGACAACUAAAAGAAUACUUGCAACAAUGCCAAGGCCAUCGUGAGCACCUUUUGGCCAUCCUUCGGUAGCAAUCCCUACGAUUAAGGAAACCAAGGCACACACUGCAAGAAUAAUGAGGGUCAUAUCUUGAAGUGCUUCCCAUACAAACACCCAAAAGCUCCUGGCUUGGCUUUCAGCGAACUUAUUUAUUCCGUAUAUCUGCUGCCUCACUGUUAUUCUAUCCUCCUGAGUAAUAAGCCCAUCAUUUGUUGAUGUGGAUAGCUUGUCCGCUACACCAGCUACACCACCAUGCGCUUUUAACUUCUUCAGAUCAUGGCCUUCGACGAUUGAACUUAAUUCCUCGGCACAUAUCUCGAAGCCCGCAGCCUUUACUUCAGCUGGUACAGUGUACUCGCUAUGCAAUGUAAUGCCUAAAGAAAUUCAUGAAUGUCUUAUAAAAUUCACAUAUUCCAAUUUUGAAAAUAUAUAUAGGUCGGAAAAGAGUGCAAGAUUACCAUGUAUAAACUGAAGUGCAGCUUUUGAAACCAAAACAGCAACCCGCAACUUCUCCUGUAAAAAAAGAACAUACGCAUUUACAUCUUCUACCGAAAGGAAGAAAUUUAGUUCAUAUUCAAUAAAUCAUGCUUCUUCCAUUACAAGCUGUAACAAAACCUAGAAGAUGAAUCUCUUAUAAACAUUCAAUAAAAAAUUGGAAAUAGGAUGUAUAUACUUUUAUGCCUAGAGUGGGAUAUAAGGUAUUUGGAGCAGGAAUAAAGUUAAAAAAAUGAUGAAUUCUCAAUAAAGCCUUUGGAUGUGGAUGUUAGGUUAAAAAUAUAAACUGAACAUACGUUUUUCCAAGAAUAUGGACAUAAUUAUAACUAAGGUAUAUGUUAGGGUAAUGUUUCAAAUGAUGCAGAGAGUAGGAUGCAUUCCAUCCAAGCAAGGGUCUGUGAUUGUGUAAUGCGACUGCUUGAUCGCUGUUAAAUGUCACAGAUAGGGCCCUAUGUUACCGCAUUAGACAGCUAAGAGGAGGGUAAUGUGGAAACAACUAGAUUUAAUUGGAGGAGGAUACUUCAAGAGAUGCAAAGAGAAAAAACAGCAUAUUUUCAUGGAUAUCUGACAUAUCCCUUUUGUACUAUUAUCUGUUAAAGCAUUUUCUUUUAUGUUCUUUCUUUGAUCUACAAUCACAGCAAGUAAAAGAAAACUCCAGGUGAAGCCAAAGCAGUGAGAUGGCAAUCAUUGAUUGAGCAACAAUACAAAAAUGCACAUCGGCAUAAGCUACCCUUAUUAUAUUUUCUCCAAAAAGUGUAAAAAAUUACAUUGAGAUGCAUAUUCUCUGAUUGGUGGCAAACAUGUUAAUGGCUAACCUUUUGAAAAAAAAGGACAAAAGGAAAUGCCAGAUGCCAAAUUAGUAAUAUAUGUCAAAUUUGUUCUCGUCGCAUUUUUAUGUAGCUUGAGUGUCACUAAUUCUCCAUUGAAUUCACUUCAUCCUCCCAUCAUUUGAUUCACAUUGUUAACAUUUGUUCCAAAUUAGAAGGGGAGGAGAUAACAGGGGAGAGAUAAGGAAAAAGUGAAAAUAAAAAGUGUUUGUUUUUUUUUAAUUUUUUUUCAAUAGAAUUUUGUAUAUCAAAAGGUGUAGGAGUGUAAAGUAAAUGACUUGCAAUCCUUUUAUAUCCAAAGUAUUUACUUGACAACAAAAAUAAAAACUUGAAAACAACCUCUCUUUUUUUUUUUUUGCUUUCAAAAUUUUUUAAACAAGUUGUAAUCAACCAUUUGACCGGAUGCAUUAUAAGUUACUCAACUAUAACAACAAACAAAAAGUCUUUCUUUCAACAUGUCAAAUUAUCUAGAAUCAGUGUUUAAUAAAAAUAAAAAAUGAGAACAAUACCGAAUGCGAGGCCUAGGUCUCUUUAAUACCAAAAGAAUAAGUCACAAAAAUUGACUAUGAAAAUCCCGAGAAAAUAUAACUUAUAACAAGAUCAGAAUAGGAUUCAGCUCCAACUUUCCAAUUCCAUAACACUUACAAAAGAAAAUAGAUUAUAAUUCACAAAGAGAAAAAAAAAAAGGAAAACAAAUAUGGAAUUUAGGGGCAGAAUGGUUAUUUCGAAGGAAAAAACAAAAUCAACUUCAACCAAUCAACAAACGGAGAAGGGAUAUACUUACAAAGCAUGCUACUUUGGAUGGCAUAUACAUAUAAAUAUAUAUAUAUAUAGUAGGAAACGGACUCAGAAAUAUAUAUUAUCGCCCUUACAUGAUGAAUAUGAAUGGCCAUUCAGUCUCAUUAUAUAAUACAAAAAAUUCAACCCACGACUCCACAUAAGGUCGAUCUAGUAGAGAACGGCUCAGAAAUAUACAUAAAAAAUGAUAAUUAAAAUUUUGUAGGGAUAAAUACGCAAUUUUUAUCGGUCUCAAGGGAUAAAAUUAAAUGGAGUAACCAAACUCAAACACGCCAAAAUCCCAAGAACGCAUUCAAAUGCAAAACAAAAAUAUUAAGAACGAGAAUCAAAAAUCGAAACCUGGUUGGAGCGCUUCAUCGCCCGGGCCUCGGAGCGCUUGGAGAGAUUGGCGGUGAAGCGGAAGCGGCGCUUGGGGUUCUUGACGACGCCGCAGAGCUUCCGCCACCGCUGCAGCACCUCAUCCGAGGAGUGCUUCGACUUCACCCCCCCGAAAUUCUCAUUGAGAUAGCUCUCCAUCGCGCUCUCCUCUCGCUUCCCCCCCCCNCCCCCCCUCCCCAAUUCCCCACCUACCACCCCCGAAACCUUCAAAAAAAAAACUUCAAAAAAACCCUAAUUUCGUACUCCCUCGCCCCUCCGCUCCGCUGCUCCUCGCAGCCGCUACUUGUAGCCGCGGCCACCGCGGCUCAGAAGCGCUUCUGGGCAGAAGCUUCCAUGUGAUUAGGGCGAAAGCGCAGUGGUAGGGGAGAAGAGGAAGGGUAGGGCAAUGGCGUUAGAGAGAGAGAGGGGAAAGAGAAGGGGAAAGAGAAGGGGAAAAUGAGGGUGCGGGGGAUCCGAAAAAUGGUGGGAAGGGUAAGGUUAGUGGCAGCGUCUCCGCGCGCGUGGGAGGAAACAGAGCGGAAAUUGAGGGCUCGAAAAAACCGAGUCGUCGCAAGCGCUUGGAAGCUGAAACUCUCCUGAAAGUCCCUGUACUAUUACUCUAUUUUGCAGUUUUUGCAGUUUGGUAUUGUUGUUCCCUUUUGAGCUUUUUUUGCAAUUAGCCCCCCGAACAAAAAAUUAUUUUAAAAAUAGUCUCGGCAAAUUUAAAUUUAUAAAAAUAAUCCUGACCCUGCCACGCAGAUGCCACGUCAGCGCCAUGCAGGCUAAGCUAGACCAGAUAGUUAAGUUAAACACGGUGAACCAUUCACUGUGUCUAAACACGGUGAAUGGUUCACCGUGUCUUGGGGAAAAAAAAGAAAGAUAAGUUUGGAACACAGUGAACCAUUUACCGUAUUUGAAUACAGUGAAUGGUUCAUCGUGUUCAACUUAAGGCCCUAACCGUCCACGUGGCGCUGAUGUGGCGUCUACGUGGCAAGGUCACAGCCAUUUUUUGUAAAUUUAAAUUUAUUGGGGCUAUUUUUAAAAUAAUUUUUUUCAGAGGGCUAAUUGCAAAAAAAGCCCUUCCCUUUUCCAUGGAUAAAUAAUAAAUUGCGCCGUUUAGCCCUCAAACUAUGAGGUCGGCAACACUUCGGUGCUUAAAUUUUAAUUUGUGAUUAAUUUUAUACAUGCUCUUAUAAAUAUAGUGAAUUACAAUAUAUAUUCUUAUAAAAUUUAACUUUCAUAUGUUGUUUCUUUAAUAGUCCUCAUAUUUUCAAAUAUCUUCCUACCGUUAGGAUCCGUUGGAAAAAAUUAGUUAACCAUAGAUAAAAUACUUAACCCUAGUUAGUUAAUAAGGUGAAUUGAUCGAUCUUUUUACCCUCUUCAAUUAACAGUUGAGACGUUUGGAGGGACAUAUUUAUGAUUGUAAAAAGGUCAUUUCAUUUGUAAAAUAAGCAGUGUUUUAACGGUAACAAACUAGAUGAAUAUAUUUGAAAAUAUUAAAACUUUUGUAGGGACAACGUAUGAAAGCUGAACUUUAUAGGGAUAUAUUUAUAGUUUACUAUGUUUACAGAGACCUGUAUGAAUUUAACCCUUUAUUUUAUUAUAAUAUUUUAUUCAAACUUUCAGAAUUAUUGCCAUCAAGUUUCACGAACUAGUUUAGCUGACCAAAUAUUGACACAUUGUUGAUGUAAAAGUUAUGCCGCAUCUUAAUUAUUAUCGUACAAUCAAUCAUAAUACUUGCACAUUAUUUUUAUAUCAAUAAUUUAUUAACAUUUAGCCAAGUAAAUUAAUUUAUGGGAUUUGAUUGUAAUAAUUCUGAAAGCUUAAGUCGAAAAUUACAACAAAUUAAAGUUUAAGUGCCAAAUAGUCACAUGAUUUAUAUUUUGGGGACCAUGCGUGCAACUUACUUCAUUUUUUUUAAACUUUUGUGGGGUUAUUUGAUUCUAUGCGGUUACAAUUGCAUUGUAGCUAUAAUUACAUAUCAAUUCGAUUGUAUCCAAACAUAGCAGUUGAAGAAACUAAUUUUAAAGAAAAUUAAAAACUUGCCUAGAUUAUAGCCUUUUAAACAAAAUAAACAUAAAAGAUAAUCCCCUCACCUCACAUAUAAAAUGAGAAAAUUUAAUUAUAUUUUUCAGCAGCAUAUAAUCAAAUAAAUUGCUUAUAAUUAUAAUAUUUAUCACUAAAUUCAACUAAAUAAGAUGCAUGUAGCUAAAAUUACUAUAUUUCUAAAUGAAUGGAUCUGGAACUAUACUAUAUUUACAAUCAUAUCUAACCAAGUGGACUUUUAAUUUCGAUAAAAAUGCAUGGAGACCCCCCAACUUUUCCAUGUUCGAGUAGACACCUACAUUUUUAAUUUUAGCAUUAUACUUUUUAAAAACGUAAUCAAAUAGUUUAAUAACCAUGUCUCUCAAUUCAAAUUAAAUUACACAACAGUUUUGACUUUUCGCAUUUCAUUAGAGAUGAUAUAGCUUUAAAACACAAAAAAAAAAAUAUUUUUUCUAUUGUAGCACAUGAAAUAAAAAACUAUAAAAUUGAAGAUAGGUCAUUCUAUUCUUUAAUCCUGAAAUAAUUAUAAUAACAAUAGCAAAAUACAGGUUUUUUGUCUUUUAAAAUUAUACGAAAUUAUGUACAAGAUAUGUGAUUAAAUAAAUUGCUCAAUUAGUAACUUUGUUUGAAGUGAGAGCCUUAUUGAAUUAUGAUGUCAAAUUUUCAAAAUUAAAGAUUUAAAUAUCUAUUUCUAAAAGUGCUAAAGUUUAGAGGCCUUUGUACAAUUUUUUCUACUUCAGUUCAAAAGAGCACCUCAACCUAGGGGUGUAAACGAGCCGAACACGAGCGAGCUGGGGUUGGCUCGUUAAAGUAUCGAGCCGAAAAAUUUAGCUCGUGUUCGGCUCGUUUAUUAACGAGCCAAACACGCGUGCGCUCAUGAGUUGGCCAAUGAACAAUAAAUUAAAAAGAUUAGAUUAAAUAUAUAUAAAAAUAAAUUUAUAAAAUCUUAUCAAUUAGACUUUGAUCUAAUAAUUGAAACUUUACAUAUAAAUAAUUUUUUUAUAAUUAAGCUCGCAUUUAUAUUUUAUUUUACUAAAUUUUAAUAAUAAAAAUAUAUAUUAUAUAUAUAAUUAUUUAUUUAUAUAUAAAAAUAUAAUUAAAUAAAUUAUAUAAAUGUAAAUAUAUAUGUAUUCGAGCAUUUAUCGAGCCUAGCUCGUGUUCGGCUCGUUUAUUAAACGAGCUGAAAAAUCCAGCUCGUGUUUGGCUCGUUUACUAAACGAGCGAGCCAAUCUUGAGGUCAUUUCGAGCCGAACACGAGCUGGCUCGCGAACAGCGAGCUGGAUUGCCACCCCUAAACCUACACGCUUAAAUAAAGAUAUACAUCUUACACCCCCUCUAAGUCAAUGGCCAACAAUUUGUCUUUUCUUGUAAGUUUUUUUUUUAUUUUUUUAAAUAUUAAAACUUCAAAAGGUUUUCUAAACCUUAGGAUCAAGAGAAUGUAACAUAUACACCCCAGAAUAAAAGGUACAGAUAGUAUUUCUCCAUUUGAGUCGUGAUCUGUACACCUGAGUAUAGGGAAUGUACAUCUUACACGCUUGAUCCAAGAGUUGAUACACUUCUUUUGGAAUAGCACAAUGCUAUUGGUACAUUUUAAAACAGAUUGUAUAUCUUACACAUUUUUCAUCCAAAGAAUAUAAUUUUUUUACUUGUCACAUCAUUUUUUUUAACUAUAACUCAUUAGGAUUUUUGUAAACCCUACGAUGAUGAGUGUAAAAUCUACACCUUUCUUUUAGGGUGUGUCUGGAGAAUUUUUCUUUGGAUUAUAAAUUUUUUGAAAAAAUGGACAAGUCAAGUGGAUUAAAAUAUAGGCCACGAGACCCUUUAGGGGUGUAAACUUUACAUAUGUACAUUUUCUCAACAAAAAAAAAAACUUUACAUCCGUACACAGGGCAUAUGGAUAACAUUGCAUUUUAUUAAAUCCAUAGAUGAUUUCAUUAAUUUUAUAACUUCGAUUAUUUUUAGUAAAUAAAACUAGACAAAUCAACAGUUAAUAAAGUCAUUAAAUUUGAAAAAAAAAUUAAGUAACCUAAGUAUAAAAAGUCAAAUAAAAAAAGGAAUUUGAGGAGUCACAAUAAAAAAAAAAAAAAGUUAAGUGGUCUAUUUCAAAGUUGGCCAUAAGAAGGUGUUGACAGCAGAGGCUCUAGUCAACCGUGGUUGGCACGGUCCCUCUGUUUGCGUGCUUUGCAAUUCAAAUUUUGAAACUCUCGAGCAUCUUCUGUUAAACUGCUCCUAUGCCAAAUUCUUGUGGACUUCGUUGCUUCGUUCUGCACCAGCAGCGCAACAUUAGAUGUCCAACUCAUCGGGUGGGAUAGCAGCUCGAUGGUGCCGGUCAAGGAAAUUACUAAUAGGGGAAUCAAAAAAGAGUUAUGAUCUCUACGUCGCAGCGGGAUAUUAGGAGUUAUGGAAAGAGCGGAACAGGAGAUUAUUCGACAAUCAGAUAAAACGGAGCGAAAAUCUGGAAAGACUAAUUCAUUGCACGGUCCACCAUAGGGUCUCUGCAACAGGGAGCUAAGAUCGUCGACACUUUCUAAGUUUGUUAACACUUCAGGGUCUUUGGCCCCUACUUUGAGCAAAUUCGGACUCACUACGAUUGCUCUUUCUUUCACUUUGUUUCUAUGGGUCUAUGUAAUUUGAUCAGGCUCAGCCUUUGUUUUUUAUCACUUUUGGUCCUUGUACUUGGUUUCAAAUAGGGUAAAUCCCUGUUUAAUCAAAAAAAAUAAAAAAUCGGCCAUAACUAAGGGUUCUCCAUAUAUUUUUCACCUUUAGUUUAAGAAAAUAUUUUAAUUUGUUUCCAUCUAGCUUAAUUUUAUUUUGUUACUUUGUAGUUUGCAGGGCCGAGCUAUGCAGAGGCUGAGGGGAGCCAUGGUCCCCCCCAAAUUUUUAUAAUUUGCUUAUAGUCCUUUAUAUAUUUAAAAUUUUAAAAAUAUAUUUUUAUUUAAUUUAAAAGUAUGAUGAAUAACCUAUUUUUUAAAAAAGUUUUUAACGCUAAUAUAAUCCUCUCUCAACUCUGAGUUUAUUUUUAUUUUUUUAUUUAGUACCUUCAAAACUUCUAAUUAUUUUAGAUAAUUUUUUAUUUAAUUAAAUUAAAGGCUAUAUUAAAGUUAAUAGCUCUGUCAACUAAUAGUCAUUUAUUGUUACAAUUAUAUUUAGUAAAAAUUAAGAAAUUAAAUCAUUCACUAAAUUACUAUUAGAUUUAGUAAAUUUCAAAGUUAUUUGAGUGAAAUAAUAUAAAUAAAAUAAUUAGAAGUUAAGUAAAUAUAAAUAAAAAAGGAGUAAUGCCUUUUUACACUAAUUAUUUAGUUAAUAUAUUUUCUCAUCAAAAAUUUGACUAGGUAAAUUUUAUUUAUUUGCUAAAAUUUUGAUUUGUAUGUAUUUUGGCCCCCCGCAUAAUCGAGUGCUAGUUUCAUCCUCCGUAGUUUGAAAGAUAUUUUCAUAUUAUUAUGUGAUUUUAUUUUUGUUUUAUCAUAAAGGCCUACGGAUAAUUAAGUAUAUAUGAUAGUAAAGUAUUAUAUUUUACAAAACUCAAAUAGUAAACUAAAAAUAAAUGAUUAGUAAUAUGCCAUAAUGAGCAACGUUUUAAGAUCUAAAACAUAUAUAUUUCUACCAAUCCAAAAAGUAGUUUACACUUUUAACUGGUAAAUUGAUCUUCUACUUACUGAACUUCAAAUUUAGUUUUGUAUCCUCUUAUUUUUAGAGUAUUUUAUUUUAGUUCUCGUCUCAAUUAAAAGUAUUUUUUGCGUCAAAGUUCAUGAGUAAACCUAUGUACAUUGAAUCACUCUGCUCUCCGUCUCAUAUUUUCAUUUUAAUUAUCUAAUUUUUAAAAGGAGAAAAGGUUAUAACUCUAAAUAACCCGAGAGAUCUUGACCGUUUGAUAGAAAUAAUUCUGUUUGGGAAGAGAUAAAUCAUUUCAGUAUUUUCAAAAUUCGACGGAGAUUAUCAAAUAUAGUUAUGAAUUUUUUUGACCAAAUUCAUCGUGAUUCGAUUUCCAAAUAAGAUUCCAAUUUAUAUCAACUCUUCAGGUGAUUUUAAAAUAGGAAUAGUUCCAUAGUAUCGUCGCAUAAAUCGAGCAUGCCCUGAACUAGCAUAUAUUUAUUUAUCUAUUUAUUAAUUCUUAAUAUCGUACGCACGUUACGUACGUGCAAUGAUCAAAUGUUACCGUUGCACCAAUUUAUUUAUUUAUUUUUAUAAUAUUAGGUGAAGUGGGGAUCUUGUCUCUAGCAACGUGCAACGAACCUUAGGUUAAAUAUUGUAGUUAUGUGCCAAUUUUAAGUUGGAUUGGAAACUUGUUAAUAAAUUAUGUACACAGCAACGACCUAAAACAAAAAAAAAAAGGAACAAACAAACAACCAAUCAUUUUAUAGAACAAAAAAUGUACUCAAAUUUAAAAUUUGAGUUAAAAUUUGUAAAUUUAGUUUUAAAUUAAAAUACAAGUUUACAUUUUAAAUUUAAAUUUUUGCGUUAUAAAUUGAAGUUUGAAUUGAAAUCAAAAUUCAAAGUUUUAAGUUCGAAUAGUGGCCCUCAAAUCUCUUUUCUUAUCAAGGGCCCAUCUCACUACAAAAGCAAUCAUGUUACGUGCCUUAAUUAGGCCCAAAAAGGGUUCAGAUUGAAGAAACAAAGGCCCAUUAAUUAUCCCUUUUUUAAAAAAAUUAUUUUUGGGGACACUCCUCUAGUUAUUCCCUUGCACAACUACUAAAUAAUUGCAACAUAUUUUGAAGGAAAAAAGAGUUAUAAUUGGGAGAAAAACUAUUAAAAGGUUUUGCGUUCAAAUAAGAUGAUGCGCAUGAGAAAGUUGAAAAAGAUAAAAAGGAAAAAAAAUAUUUGGGAGAAAAGGAAAAUAAUUUACCAAUCCAAUUGAUUCUAGAGGAACAUAUUUGUAAAAGAGUAAAGUGAUCGAUGGUUCGCAAUAGAAAAUAGGUAAUUUUUACGAGGUCAACUGAUGGACAGGAAUUAUGUAUGUAUAAAUUUGUAAAGUUUACAUGAAUAUAUAUAACGAUAUAAAAUUUAGAGGGGGUAAAAAUGUAAUUCUAAUCAAAGAUAUGGUAGGCAAUUUUUCUUAUAAUUUUGGGUUUUUCUUGCGUUUAGUCUUCUCAAUAAUUUUUUCCUAAAUAGCCCUAUAAAAUUUAUAUUUGUAAGAUUGACUUUAUUUCCGCAACGCAAGCGCCACGUGGAUGUAGCGGUAGGUUAAGUUGAACACGAUGAAUCAUUUACCGUGUUUGAAUACGGUGAAUGGUUCACUGUAUCCUUUCUAUAGUCGAAACCCAAAAUAUUACGUAGUAUCAUGAUUGGAAAAUAAUAGAAUACAAUGAAUUGUUCACCGUGUCAAAACACGACGAAUAAUUUAUCGUGUUCAACUUAACCUACGCCGCCAUCCAUACUCGUAUGUGGCACUUACGUGGCGGGAGUAUGAUCAAUAUUAUAAAUAUAAAUUUUAUAAGGCUAUUUAUAAAUUUUUUUUUUUUGAAGGGAUUAAAUGCAAAAAGAAAGUCCUAUAAUUUUCUAUGGUGGGACAUCCCCAACACAACCAUGAGACAUGGCCUCAUCUCCAUGCUUUAUGCUUGGUCCAUAUAUACAUGGAAAUAUACUUUUUGACAAAAAAAAAAAAAAAAAAAAAAAAAAAAAAAACUUGGAAAUAGAUAAUGAUGUAGCCAUAUAAAGUGGAAUAUAUAGGAGCUAGAGGGUAAGGACUAAGGACCCCUUGCAUGGUCUCAAUAAUUAGAGUACUAGAGGCCCCAUGCAUACUUGUGAAGUUGAAGAGGGCUUUUGGGUACUUCAUUGGAUGACUAGGAAUCCACUAAGAGAGAGAGAGAGAGAGAGAGAGAGAGAGAGAGAGAGAGAGAGAGAGAGAUGCUUCAAAUGUUUCUUUAAAAAAGGAGAAAUGGAUAGGAAAAUGUGUCUUGCAUGGAUCUUGGUGAGGUUUAGUUUGGUUUAGCAAACUAACAUCACUUUCAACGUUUUGUUUGUUUCACUGAAGUUGAAGUUUAAAUUAAAAUAGACUUUUGAAUUAAUUAGAGUUCACGUAAAAUUUUUUUUUUUCGUUGUUUGUUUGGGUCGUUGUGGAACUAUUUUUUUUUUUUUUCAGUUCUGUUGUUUGUUUGGCAAAACCAUAAAUGACGUGAAAACUGAAGAUGUGAGAUAUAGAUUAAUUUUUUUAAAAUUUUUUCUCACCUUUUCUUUUUCUGUAAUUGACUUCGGUAAGGGGUGGACCGAAAUCAAUUACGUUAUUUUGGGGAGUUCAAACCGAAAGUAAAGUUACAGUAAAUCAAACAACAAAAAUAAAUAUUUACAGCUGAAACUAGUUCAUCCAUCUCCACUUUCAGUAAAAUAAGAGCACUCCGUAUACGAAUAAAUCAAUUAAAAAAGUUGUAUGUCGAGCAUAAUUCCGUGAGCAGAAAAAUCUUGUGUACGAGGUGAUUCCAUUCUAGCGGCCAGAUGCAUCGUGCUGUAGAUAGACAAAGAUUUUCUUAGCAUAAGUUGCGAAGAACUUAUUAGCUGCUGGAUCCCUCUAUAUAUAAUAUAUGACAAUAUAUCAAUAGUCAAUAAAACUAGUGUACAUUAUGAUCGUAUGUCAUAUUUGAAUAUCAAAAUAAGUUACUUCUAUUGUGGUUGAAAAUUAGGAGUUUGAUUCUUGCUCCUUAAUGUUUCGUUUAGAGGCAUUAAUAUUUUAAUUAUCCUAUACUAAUGCCUAAAAUGAAUACUGCAUUCUUCAAACCAUUUUUUCAAAGUAAAAUAAAUCAUCUUAUAGAUGAAAUAUAUUAUUCAAAGAGUAAAAAUCAAAUUUUAAUUUCCAACCAUAGAAAAAAAAUCUUUGUAAAUUGAACAAAUUAUCAUUGCAUAUCUUAUUCUGACAUUCAAACAAGUUUCAAUUCGUGCUAUGAAUUACCUUAUUUCGAAAAAAUAAUUCUGUAUACUAACUACAACACAUUAUUUUAGAUAUUUAAUCACAAUCCUUAUUCAUCUAAUUCUAAAAAUAAUUUUUUUAAAAAAUAUAUAUAUAUAUAUAUCCAACAGUAGUUUCUUUUCUUCAGUAUGAUCAUUAGUCAACUAAAGAGGAGUUGCUCUUUCCCACCACAUCCUGUUCGAUUCCACAACAUAGAAACAUUGGAAUCCUUUGACGUUGUAUGUUUUUAUCGUAAGUGCCAUUGUGGAGGAUAAGGCCGAUGACUCACCCCAACAUUACUCCACCAAUCAAUUCAUGACUUGUGCCCUCAACAUAUUUAAAGGGAUCUCUCUCUCUCUCUCUCUCUCUCUCUCUCUCUCUCUCUCUUUUACUCUUUCUCUCUCUCUCUCUCUCUCUCUCUCUCUUUCUUUUACUCUCUCUCUCUUUCUCUCUCUACAGUUUGGCUAAGGUCAUGAGCUUAAAGCAAAGUGGUUGCUUCUCUGACAAAAUAAAGCUUUUGGAUUGGGUGGGACCAAAAUGAAAUAGUUUUUUACAUUUAUCUUCGUUUGUAGGCAACUAACGUACGUACCCAUUAAUUUCUGUAACAUUAAUUAUAUAUUAUUAAAAAAACUUCAAAAACCCUCCCUAUGGUUUCGCAAUUUCUCACUUUACUACUCUAUGGGUUAAAAUGUAUCAAGUUAGUGUUCUGUGGUUUUAUUUUUAUUUUUUCGUCAGCUUUUCCGUUAAUAUUUCGUUAAAUUAUAUACAAAAAAACUUUAGAUACCCCAUCUAAAUUUAUCAAAUAUUCACUUUGAUACCCUUUAGUUUUAACUUUGUCACUUAUUAAUAAAAAAAAUCAGUAAAAUCGAUAAUAAAAAGAUAAAAAUGAAAUCACAUGACACUAAUUUGAUACACUUUAAACCACACGGUACUAAUGCGAAAAAGAGUGAAACCACGGGGUGGGGGGUAUUUGAAGUUUUUUCUAUAUUAUUUUAUGGGUUAAUUGCAUACAAGUACUGUAACGCCCCGACUUCCCAGGGGGUCACCCAUCCUAGGACUACUCCCGUCCUAGCACGCUUAACUCUCUUAACCUCUUGGGUCUAGCCACCACCCAAAAUGCUUAAGCCGGGUUAAGAGUUUAGCCCUAUUAUAUCUCAUAUAUAGGACUAUCUGGGGUCUCACAAGUACCUGCAAAUACAGUAAACUACAAAUAUAUCUCUAUAAAGUUCAACUUAUAUAUAUAUAUAUAUACUAAAACGAAAAAGAGUGAAACCACGGGGUAGGGGGUAUUUGAAGUUUUUUCUAUAUUAUUUUAUGGGUUAAUAUAUCUCUGCCAUUAGAAUCUGUUAGAAAAAUUGUUAAUCAUAUAUUAAAUACUUAGCUCUAGUUAGUUAAUAAGUGAAUAACCUUUUACCCCUUUUCAAUUAACAGCUGGGACUUUUGAAGGGAUAUAUUUGUGAUGACAAAAAAGUCAUUUCACUUAUAAAAUAGACAAUGAUUUAACGAUAAUAUAUCAGAGGAAUAUAUUUGAAAAUAUUAGAAUUAUUUUAGGAACAAUAUAUGAAAGUUGAACUUUAUAGGGAUAUAUUUGCAAUUCACUAUAUUUACAGAGAUCUGCAUAAAAUUAACCUUGUUUUAUCAAAUUUAAAGUUGCAGACAGUUAGGCUAGUAUUCUGUUUACGUGGUGAAGAUCGGAGUAGAUCAAGUGACGACUGAGACUCGUGAGUGCUGUAAAACAAUUCACUGGUUUAAAAUUAAUUGAUUGUCUUAACUUAAUUGAUUGUCUAUGUUUUAAAUUAAUUCAUUGUCUCCUCUCGAGUGGUUUGAUUUUUUCGAUUACUGGUUAAAACAAUUCACUUACACAAGCAUACAUUUGUUUGUUGUACAUACAUCUACAAAUACUCUGAGUGAGAGAGAGAGAGAGAGAGAGAGAGAGCUGAGAUUAGUAGUAACAAAAAUUUCACAACUUUUUGACAUUAUCUGGUUAAAAAUAAAUUGGUUUCUAAUAACUUCACAUGCACUUUGGAAUUAUCUUUUGUGCUAUAUUUUCUUUUACUUUGAUGCAUGAAUCAAGUGUACACACCUAGGGCCGUUUGUACAGACACCCACUACAAGAAAAUUUUAUUACAAGAAUGUUUUGUCGAUGAUAAUUGAAAAAAGCAUCCCCAAGCAUUUCUAUAAAAUAGGAAAUAUUGACGCGUCAAAAAGUAUUGUCAUAUAAAUUUUCUAUUAUAUCAAACCAAUUUAUUGAAUGAUAAACUUUGCUAUUUUUUUUAAUUGAACGAUACUAUAAAGUGUCGGGAUUUUAAAAAAUUCUCACACUUUGAAGCAUCAAAUAUAUUUUAUUGAUGCUCGGUUUAAAAGUCAAUAUACUUGUGACGACUCUUUAUUUGCCACAACUUUCAAGUAUAAUGGUAAACUAAUUCUGGAACGCUUUUAAAUAUCAUUAAACACCGAAAAAAAAAAGUUCUUAGGUAUUAAUUUUCGUGUAGGGAACCCUUGAGAAAUUCUUGUUAGUUUAACAUGAAGGUAUUCGUAUCAACGAUUUUGUAUAUGCAAAAUACCCCUAAAUUUCAAUUCUUGAUUACAUCCUUAAUUAAUGUUUGAGUCUACAUUUCUAUACUUGAUCAAACAUAAGCAAGUAAUGGCUCAACAUUUUACUCUUAUUAGGAUAUCAAAUUUUGGAUACAUACAUAUCCAUCUAAAACUUCAUACUAUAUACAUACUUGUUGUACUUUGCAUAUAUAGCUAGGAAAAUGGUCUACAAUUUAGAUGUGAGUCUCUUUUAAAGCAUGUUGUACAAAAUGUGAAAAGGAAGUAACCCAAAGACACAUAUGUACUGUUGCAGAACUAUAGUAGUGGAGGGAAAAAUAAUUCUAAGUGGAUAAGAAGUACUCCAUGGUCCCUUGAGGAAUCUGAUCCACAUGAAAACCCUUAAAUUAAAAAAGAAAAAGAGAGAGAGAGAGAGAGAGAGAGAGCCCAAAAGAAAAAAAGAAAAAAAAAGAAAAUAAAAGAGAGGUUGAAGGGAAAGUUGAAGACACUUAUGAGGAAGGGUAUUGAAGUGAAAGCACUAAGAUAGAAGCUAAUGGAUCAGAACAUCAACAUAUAAACCAAGUCCUGGUCAAUCCCCAUCAAUUCCACGUGAAGUGAAAUAAAAGGAUAAGAUAAGGUGGGGAAAAAAAAAGAGGACAAAAAAUUGUGUAUUUUUGGUCUACUUCUGUUUCUAUUUUUAGCACUUAUAAUCAUGACUGAUCUUCUAUAAAAAAAAAUCUAAAAUUUGAAAAACACAAGUUCAGUAUUUGUAAUUAUGCUGAUAGAGAGAGUCCAUAUAUUAGAGUUAAAGGAACCUUAAUAUGUAGACUCUAUCAACCCACGUGAAAAGGAAUAGAAGGAUAAGAAAAAGCGAAGAGAAGUUUAAAGUCUUAGUGCCCCACUUUUGUUUCUACUUUCAGCAACUUUUAAUCGUGAUUAAUUUUCUGCAAACCAUUUAGUAAGCAACAAAAGAAAAAAUCAUAUAUACUUUUUCCAUGCACAGCGGGAAACAGAUUUAACAUUCUGGUAUUUAAAAAGCGAAAACUCUAAUCAGUGCUUUUACUCUUCUUGCUAUGACAAAAAGUAUUGACAAAGUAUAUACCGCAUGUCUAGGCCGCUUUUAUUUCUACCUUCAGUAACCCACAAUCAUUUUAUAGAUCUUUUAGUAAACAAAGAGUCACACUCUUUUCACGUGUAGCAGAAAACAGAACUACAGGAUUAUAAAAUUUAAACAACAAAAUUUCUAAUAUGAUGCUUCUACUUCUGCUGGUGUUGCAGAAUAUUUACGAAAGAAAUUAUAAAAGUUCUAUUCAGAUAACACUUAAUUUGUGUAACGGUACGAUACGCUGUAACACAUAUAGGUUGGGAUAAGGUAUACCCAUGUUAGUGGUGGGGCUAUGGCUAUUGUAUGUGGGGAGUGGGGAAUUUGCAUUGGUGGAUGCGGCAACAAGAUGAAGAGGCUAUGCAUUGCACAAAAAAAGCAAUAAUAUAUGGGCCACUACAUAAUUGGUGAAAGAUGGAAAUGAAUCGGAUUCUCGCAACUGUUACCCACUCUUCUUCCCAACAAUAUUAUUGUUCUCUCUCCCCAAAAAAAAAUAUUAUUGUUCUCCAAAGCGUUUGGAUGGGGGUAAGGGGAGGGAUAACCCAUUAUCCUCUCCUUUAUACCCAAACGCAAAUUUUUUAUUCGAGAAUAGUAGUUCUCGAGUACCUGAAAUAAGCUGGUAUGAUUAUCUUCACCAUUAUUUUUCUUAUUUCAUAUUAUCUUAUCCAAACGCUAUUUUUUUUUAUCCCCGGCGAUAUGUAAUAGCUAGUUAUUGCUUAUACCCAAACCAAACGAUUUUUUUUUUUUGAGAGAUAGGUAGCACGCUACCCGCUUCGUUUAUUUUAUUUAUAAAUAAACUUAGCUGGAAAUGUGAAUCAACCAGAAUUCGAAUUUGGGACUUUGGGUACCAACCACCAAGCCCUUUGCCACUUGCUCUAGCGACGGUCGGUAACGAAGGCUAAAUUAGUACUCAAAAUAUAUAAGAUGUAGUCCUUAGAUAGUAUACUACACGUUUUAUUUAUAUUUUUUAAACAAAUAAAUUUAACUGAAAACAUAAUUAAAAUAACUUUAGUUCGAAUUUGUGAUCUCGAAUAACAACUAUCGAACUCUUGGUGGGUGUUUGGUUCCUCGAAAAGGCGUGAAAAAAAGUUUAGGAAAAUACUUUUCAUGGAAAGUUUUUUUUUUUUUUUUUUUUUUUUUUUUAGUUUUUCAUCUAUUUGAUUUUAAGGAAAACUAAUUUUCUUGAAAUUUUGUUUUCAUAUUUUAAGAAAAAUUAAUGUUUUCUUUUUCCAUUUUUUUUAGGAAAAUGAAAAGGCUAGUUUGUUAUAAUAUUUGAAACUAAGCCUUAUAAAAGAACCAGUUUUUCUUAUAAAUAAACAGACAGAAAACUGGAAAGGAGUUUUCCAUAAAAUAUUUUUUUCUCGAAAUUUUUUUUUUUUCUAUACUUUUGUAGAGAAACCAAAUAGCCCUUUGUCACUUGUGUCAAAAUAUGUAGUCCUCUUUUGUAGGAUGAUGAAAUAGGGUUAAUUUGCAUAAGCAAACUAAGACAAGUAUUUUGAUAGGAGGGACUGGGGCUUCGAUAGAGAGCUUGGUUUCUUCGGAAAUCGUAGAAAAACUAUUUUUCGAAAAAAAAAAUUUAUGGAAAGUAAAUUUUUCAUGAUUUUUAUUUUUCGAAUACAAAAUUUAAAAAACGAAAAGAAUUUUUUUUCACAAAAAUUGGCAAGAAAAUAUUUUGCUAGAAAAACUACUUUUCUGAGAAUCAAAUGGACGGAAAAUGUUUUUUCAUCCCGAAAACUAUUUUCUAAAAUAUUUUUCGAAAAACCCAGCACCCCUCUAAGUAUAAACAGAUGAUAAAACUUGGAAUGUUAUGUAGACUAUGAAGUUCUUCAAAUUAGAAAAGUGAAAUUUGUAAUGUGUUUUCUUUCUAGUUUGCUUUGUUUUUCUAAUUUUUUUUUUUUUUGUAGGUCCAUAAAAUCUAUAAAACCUCCCGUAAAAUCUAUAGUAAUGACCCCAAAUGGCAAUUUAGGCCUCAUUUCUAAACACAUAUGUGAGGGCUGGAUCGAACACAUAAUCUUUUCAAUGGUUAAUCCAGAUAACAAACACUAAGCAAACUACUAAUUAGUAGUUGUCAUUAAAAUUCAGGGUUAAUUUCUUCAAUACUCCUCUAAAAGAGUGUAAUUUUACAGAUGUGCGCGCUACUCUAAAUUUGAAAACAUUAUUAGUGUUUUUAUGUAUAGAAAAGGAUUUAAGAUUUAGGCUUAGGAUUUGGGGUUUAGAGGUGUAUUGGCGAUAUUUUAGGUUUUGGGUGGGUAUUUAUGAUAUUUUGAAGUUUUAGAAGAUAAGGUUUGAAAUUGCCCCUAACAAUAAUAGUGCAUUGAAGUGGCCAAGAAAAAGUCGUAAAAUGAUUUUUAUUUUGCGGGAUAGAGUAUAUAUAUAUAUAUAUAUAUAUAAAAGAGAAGGAGACGGAGAUAUGCUACUUGUACAACCAAGUAUUGGUGGUAGAUCUUACAUUCAAUUUAUCCAAGAAUUUAGAGUAUUAAAAAAAUAUAAGAUAUGAUAACAAUAGUGUAAAUUUUUUUUUAAAAAAGACUAUUAAAUGAAGAGGGCAUAGAAUCAGCCCCUACUUUUGAUGUUUAGAUAGUAUUGUUCUACGAGAAGAGUAUGUCUUCCGUGCUUUCGAAAGUACGGAGGCCUCUAUACUUGUAAGUUUUUUUCGACGAUAGAACAUCCAAUUCGACGAUCAGCUUCGUUAGGCAUAAUCUAUGCUAUUGGAACUAUCUAGAAACCAAAUUUUAUAAUUUUUGGACAUCAUUUACCAAGCGAUCACAGGAUCUCAAAAAUGACUAUUUUAACGGCCGAUGUGGCACGUUUUUAAGUUCAGCGGUGUAGAAGUAUCAAAAUUACAUGAAACUUUAAUAGAAAAUUCUACUUAAUAUCAAGAGCAAGAACAAUACUUCCGAUUUGAAAUUUGAGUUAUUUAUCACUGUCUUUUAUGAGAUUUUUAUUUUCAGCUGUUCAUUUUGAGGCUACUCGUUUACUAGGCAAAAGAAGUCAAAAAAUUAUGAAAUUUGGUUUCUAGAUAGUUCCAAUAGCGUAGAUCAUAUUUAACGAAAUCGAUCGCCAAAUCGGGCUUCCCAUCAUUGAAAAUAACUUAUAAGUACGGAGGCCUCCGUACUUUCGAAAGCAUAGGAGCCUAGCUUCUACGAGAAAAUUGAUUUGCUUCAACUAUUCUUCCCCAUGCGUGUUAGGUUGGCUUUGAAAUUGGUAACUACAUUUAAUUUUUGGAGAGAGUCCAGAUUGUCAGAAAAUGGAAGAACUUUUUCGGCCAUGCACCUUUCACUUCUGGAUUUUUUCGUCGGAUUGUUGUACGUAACUAUCAUACCUGCGUAUGCGCGCAUUUAUUAGUAGAAUUUAGGGAUUAGGACUACGGGUUUGUUCCGACUCUCUGUUGCUUCUUUCCAACAUCAAAAAAAAAAUGCCUAUUUAGUGGGAGCAAUCUUAGUAAGCUUUGUCUCCUUUUAUCUUUCCCUUUUUCUUUCUCUCUUAUUACUAUUUUUGUCUUUUUUUUAAGGUCUUACUUUCUCAUUUUUAUAUGUAGUAUCCUUUUAUNUAGACUCUUAAAGAUCAUGUUAUAGUAUUCGACUUGGUGUUUCAUCUAAUUAUAUAUAUAUAUAUAUAUAUAUAUAUAUAUAUAUAUAUAUAUAUAUAUAUAUAUAUAUAAAAAAGGAUACUACAUUAUAGCUAAGUUUAUUUUUUCUCUAUGGAUGGAGCGGAUAGUACAGUACCUUUUUAUCAAUCAAGAAAAAAGAAAAGUUGUUUGGAAAAAUAAAAAGAUGAUCAAUAAUGCAAUUCACAUGUACGUACACUUUUUUAUUUUCUUGUUUAUAACCACAUGACUAUUCCUACCAAAAGGACUAAACGAUGUAAUCAUAGAGCCGCCCCUUAAUAACUACAAAACUUAAGUCUCCUUGGGCUCUAUUGCUGUUUUUUUUUAACAUACAAUUUCUAUAUGAAAUGGUGUAGAUUCUAAAUAAAAUAGUAUAAAUAAAAAUAAUAAAUUACUUACAAUUCUUAUAUUUUAACGUAUUUAUUUCAAAAUAAAAAAUAAAUAUUUAGAAUGCAAUAUCUUUUUGCUUCUAAAGCUUUUUGUUAAAAAAAAUCAUCAUCCGUCACUAAAUCAGAAUGCAUUGCAAACUCACUAACGACGACAACAAAUGGAUAUUUCAAAUUAUAAAUAUUAGUGUUUGAAAAAAACAUAAUGAAAGAAUUUUUUCACAUUAAUCCCAACACAUAUAUCAAUUAUUUUACAUAAAUUAUUGCCUACACAUAUUCAUUAAUUAUUUUUUCCAUCGCAUAUUUCAAUCCUACCUCCAUCAGUUACAACUUUUUUUAAAAUAAAAAAAAAUAGAUCUUUAAAUUGAAAGUAUGAGAUGGUAAAAUAAUGAUAAACUCGUAUGCACGAACGAAAAAAAUAAACUAUAUAAGUGCCAGCAAUAAUCUAAUGAAAAACCUAAACCAAAAUAUUUUUAAAAGUUCAAGGGUUAAUAAAUAAAUCUAACUAAAAAUUCAAGAUUUCCAAUGUCCAAAUCAAAAGUUUGGGAAUAAAAAAUUGACUCCAAGUUUGGGGACUUGUGGUGAAAUUUACCCCCAAAUUUUUGUUCAUAUAUAUAAAUGGUCUCCAAUCAAUGUCACAAAUUAAUAAUUGUCCUCAUGUAUGGUGUGGCUUCAUUGCCUUCACGCCAUAAGCUUUGAAUAAUAUUUUCAAUUGAGAUAAUACAUGCCUAGUGAUGAGAACAAAAUGACAAAAGAGAGAGAGAGAGAGAGAGAGAGAGAGAGAGAUGUUGAUUGGAAUCUUGCCACAUCCGCAUCAAUUAGUGAGAAACUAGUGAACGUAUCCGUGCGUUGCGACGGGUCGAUUCCAUAAAAAUAAAUAAAAUUAAAAAAAUAAAAAAAAGUAAUUGUUACAAUAAAAAUAAAAAAAUAAAAAUAUAAAGAGAAUAAAAAGAAUAAAAAAAUUAUAAGAAUAAUAAAUUAUAUUUAUAGCAGCAGCAAAAAUUGAGAAUUAAAAUAUCAUAUGCCUCAUAAUUUGAGUUGGAAAUUGCAACUCAUUAAAGUUUGAGAACUAAAGUUUCACGUGCCUGAUUUCAUUUAAGAAAAGAAUAUAUUAAACUAUCUAAUAAAUUUUAAACUGCCUAAUUGUUAAAAUUAAAAGUCGAUAAAUUAUAUUUUGAAUAUUUCAAAAUAUUUUAAAUAUAAAAUUGAUCACUCAUCAGGCUAUAAAUAUGACAUUAAAAUUUGAUAUUAAAAUCAGAAUAAAAACAUAUAUAACUUUUCUGAACUACAAACCAUUUUGAAUCAGCUAUCAAACCUUGCAAAAUAUUAUUUUUACCGUCUAACAUUUUUAUAUGUUUGAUUUGAGUCAGUUAAUGAUAUUUUGACUUCAAUCAUUUAACUUUACAGAUUUAAUUAGUACUUCAUAUGAUUUUCGUAACUAAAUUUAUUAAAUAAGAAAUUAACUUAAGCCCCAUCGAUCUUUCUUUUAUUUUUUAUUGCACAAUCUAUAUCUAAUUGAUUAAAAUUAUAAAACUAAAAUUUAUAUUUAAUCUAUACUAUCUAAGCUACAUAAAAAUCAUGUAUAAAUAAUUAUAUAUGUUAAAUUUUUAUAAUAAGAGAGAGAAAAAUUAAAUUAGAUUAAAAAAAUAAGUCCAAUUUCGCAUUCUAAAUCAGCGAAAAGAAAAAAAAUUUUAAAAAUUUUUUUUAAAAAAAACUUGUCCACACUAUCCGACCCCCUCAGGUGGGCCCCACACCCAUCCCCGACACCUGCCACCUGGAUCCCAACUGGGGAUUCAUAAAUUUAUAUAAGAUAUAAAAUAUAAGAUAUAAGAUGUCUCUUAAAAAUAUGACGAGAGCUACACUUUAAACUUUCGCUUGUUUGGCAUCUUUAUCUUUUUUUCCUUUUUUUUUUUUUUCCUUAACAUAAUUUGUCUGUAAUUGUAUGCAUUGCUGGAUGGUCUGUUUUCACCCGAGUCCCUGACCAUGUACUGAAACGACAACUUCUGAUGAAAAAAUCUAGAAAAGCCAAAAAAAAAAAAAAGAAAAAGAAAAGUAUUUUCGCGCUUUAAUUUUUUUCUUCGUCGCUGAACAUAUUAUACAAAAAUUAUAGGGUUAAUUGCAUAUAGUUUUCUGUAAAUAUAUCGAAUAGCAUGUAUAUUUCUACAGAGUUUAACUUUUCAUAUUGAUCCUUACAAAAGUCUUAACAUUUUUCAAUAUAUCCUUAUUGUUAGGAUCUGUUAGAAAAAUAUUGUUAACCAUCGAUAAAAUACAUAACUCUGGUUAGUGAAUGAGGUAAAUUGCCUUUUUUAUUCUUCUUAUAUUAUUUGUGAUGGUAGAAAUAAAGAAGAUGAUUGUUGGAGAUUUUUGGAAAGAUAUUUAUGUAUAAUUCUAAUAGUUAGGGCUUUUUGAGGGACACAUUUGUGAUGGCAAAAAUAUCAUUUUCACUUAUCUUCUGCUAAAAAGUCAAUAAUACUCUAACGGUAAUAAACUAGAGAAAUAAAUAUAAAUAUUAUUAGACUUUUGUGAGGAUAAAUAUAAAAAGUUAAACUUUGUAGGGAUAAUUUACUAUCCGAUAUGUUUAAAAGAAGCUAUGAAAUAGCACUAAAUGAGACCUGAGUUUCGAUUUGGUAUCAUCAUUAAUUUUUUUUAUAAUUACUUUCUUAUAAUAAGAUUUUGGUAGAGUUGAUACAUUUGUGUAGAAUUGUUUAGCAGCAAAACACUGAAUUAAACCUUAGCAGUAACUUCUUUUUUAAUUCUUCUUGUAAAUUCUUUAAAAAAAAUAAUUUUUGGCUUCAUGCCCAACGUUAAUGGAAGUUACCCAAUGACCAUAAAAAUUAUAUUAAAAAAAAUUAAAUUAUAGAAAAAUUUCUUAUAAAUACUUUUUUUUUUUUUACUUUUUCUAACUUCGAAAAAUUUAUAUUUUUUUCCUUCCUUAAUAUUUUAAGUUGUUGCAUUUAACCCCCUUUCUAUCAGGGUUCCAUUAUUAUAUAUUUCGUCUAUUUUUUAUAAUAUAUACCGAAAAUAUCCUGCAAAAUGAUAGAAAUAUAUUAAAAAAAAAUUUUCUUAUAGAAGAAAUAAGGUCAAUUUAGUCAUUUUAUUCUCUCUAUUAAUGCCAUACCUUUCUGUAAACAUUUUUAAAAUUUUAAGAGAGUAAAAUAUAGAUUUUUGAAAGUCAAUGAGAGAAAGUAAAAAGCGGGUAUUUACAAAGAGUUUUCUGUAUUUUAGCCUUAAAAAAAUCGAUCUAUGGAACAUUAAUUCGACCACAUAGAUAUAUGUUUCUUUCUCAUAAAAAUGACAAUAAUUUUAAAUGAGGACCAAGUUUCUUUUGAACGUAACCUUAUUAACUAGUCGACCAUAGUUUGAAUUUGAUUGAGGUAAAAGAGAAAUUACAAACAUGUGACUCACAAGUUUUGGUUGAGCCCAAAACACAACAAAAGCAAAAAAAACAAAAACAAACAAAAACAAAUUGAAAUAAAAACAAAGACAAGAACAAAAACAAAAAUAGUACUACCAAUACAAUGAUGUAACAUGUCAAAUAGGUGGGUGCAAAAUUAAAGUUAGUGGACUGACCACAUUCAAGUGUCAAAUAAUUCGGUGAUUGAUAUUCGAGUUUUUAAGUUCAAAACCUAGUUGUUUUAUAUUUUGAGCUAAGUUUAUUUCUAAAAAAAAUAAAUGAACGGAGCUGGGUGGUCCAUCCACGCUGCGUGCCUGCAUAGGCGUUUGCGUUUCCCCCCACAUGACGUGCAUCUGACUCCCUUCUCACCAAAUCAUUUUUUUAAUUGAAAAAUAUAAAAAGAUAAGGAAAAAAAAAAUCUGUACACCCCAUAUCGAGAUGUAAAAUUUACACCCAUUAAUAUAAUUGAUUGAUGUGAUAAGUAAAAGAAUCGCAUCUAUGAAUCGGUGUAAAUCGUAUCCACUGAAACGGAGUACUGUAUGAAUAACAUUGCUCAAUAGAUAAAAGUAGUCUCCUUUUAAUUUCUAAAAAAUUUUCACAUUUUUUAAGUUUUAUUUUUAAUUUAAAAGUAUAUAGAACAAAUAUAUUUUUAAACAAUUUAAUCUUUUUCACUUUUAUCUUUUUUUUAAAAAAAAUUAAAAGUGAGCUCUUUAUAUGUAUGCUGCUCUCUAGCAUUAAUUUUUUUUUAAAAGAAAUUAUUCUUUAACUUCUAGCUUUUUAAUAUUUUGAUGAACUAUACUUUUGGUCCUCAAAUUAUGAGACUUGUAAUUUCUGAUUCGAACUAUCUGAAUUGUUGCAUCAAGUCCUACAACUUAAUUUAGCUGACUAAAUAUUAAUAUGUCACUAAUCAAAAAGUAAUAUAACUGUGUUGACAAUGAUAAUUAAGAUAUUACACAAAUUUCACAUCAGCAAAAUGUCAGUUCUUAAUUAAGUAAUUUAAAUUAUUUGACUUGAUUGUAAUAAUUUAAAAACUUCGAGUCAGAAAUUGAAAUUUGAGAACUAAAAUAUUACACACCUCAUAAUUUGAAAGAUUAAAACACUAAAGUAAAAGGAUUGUAAAUAAAAAAAAACAAUAAAGCCAAAGGAUUGUUAACUACCCGGACUUAUUCAAAUGAAAAAAAAGAAAAUGAAGGAUUGUUAAUAAAAAAAAACCCAAAUGAAGGAUUGUUAAUUAAAAAAAUUUAAAAAAACCCUAAAGCCAAAGGAUUUGUUUUAAAACGAGCUAUAGUUCAAAGGUCUCCAUAUCCUUUUACAAUAGAAUAAUGGCUACCAUAGAAGGACUAUUCUCUUCAUAAUUUAUGUUAUAAAAUUAAAAUCUACUUUAAACGUUGUAAUUUCACUACAACAAAAACGGUCUAUAGCGACACUUUUAAAUAUCGGUAAAGGUCAAAAAAAGUGUUGCUGGCUAAAUUACCGACGCUUUUAAAAAGUGUUGCUAAAUGUGGAGUCGCUAGAUAUAUAGUGACAGUUAAAGAGUGUCGCUAUAAUCUAAAAGAGUACUGCUAAUUUACCAACACUUAUUUAAGCAUUUAGCAAUUGCCGGAACUCCACCUUGUUGGCUGCGGUGGUGGAGGAGGACGAGAGGGAAGGGCUUUUCAUCUAAGAUUGCAGUGGAUUGAGUGAUCUGGAGAAGGAGAGAUGGUAAUCGAUUUUUUUUUUUCUUUUCUUUUCUGUUUGUAAUCGGGCCGAAUGGGCUACGUGGGGUGGGUUGAGUAGUCUAACCUUCUAUUUUUUAUUGGAUUGGGCUUUAUAUUUAGACAUUAGUAGAUUUCUUUUUAAGUUUCGGCAUAAAUAAGACACUUACACAAAAGUGUCCCAAACAUGUGUCCCUAUAACCUAAUUCUGUUGUAGUGUUUAUAAUGACAAAAAAGUCCAUGAAUAAAAAAUUUAUAUACGUUGAAAAUUAAAUUUGUAGCAAAUCAAUAUACAAAAUUUAUGAUUUUCAAUAUAUAUCCAACUAUUUUAAAUGCCAUAGAGCUUAUUCAAUUAAUGGGUUAGAUUUUGAUUUUACAUAAAACUUGUUCCAUGCAAUAAUAUCAUUUAAAACUGCAAACAAAAGAAGAAAAUCUUAAUGACGAAAAAGGUAAUUAAAAACAUAACAAAUGGAUCUGAAUUUUGGAUCAUUUUGAGACGAACGAUACGAUUUUUGAAAAGUUGUCUCUACUUCCUAAUUCAUUUGAUUUGUGUUAUUAGAUAGAUAAUACUUUUAUACAUAAUUUCCCGAUGACAGAAAUGACUAGAAUUUGAAGGUGAAAUUACAUGUUCAAAUUCAAUAAUAAACAAACUGUCAAAUUGUUUAACCCAAACAAAAUUGGUAUUUUAGUUAACGAAGUCAAAACUUAAUUUGAAAGAUUCGGUAUAGCUUCAAAAUGAGUCGCAGUUAGAUAACUUAGACACAUUUUUACUUGCUAGACUCAUUUUUGAUACCUUGCAUACAUUUUUACUUGCUACAAUUUCUAAAAGACAAUUUAGCAUAUGCCACAAAAUAAGUUUCAUAUAUAUGAGAAACUUUUGUUAGUAUAGAUUAAUAAGUCUAACAAUCAAAAUACUUAGGUAUCCUUCUUUACAAAAGCUAUCUACUAGGCUUUGUGGAUUCACUUUUAAGAGCAAAGUUCUUACUUUUAUUGCCUUAUAGGUUUAAAGGAAUAUAUGAUCAUAGUACACAUAGUUUAUGUGUGGACUUAUCUUAUCUUAUCUUUUCUUUUCUUUUCAUGAGAAGUCCCAAGUUGCGCUAGAGUGCUUUUCGAAGUAUACAGAUAUUCAUAUUUACUUAAAUCGAUGAUUGACGCUAUUAGAGUUGAUCUAUAGCCUCCGGGAUUUAAACUUCAUGAUUUUUCGUCAUUAUUCAGCUUAUGGUCGAGUGGGAUCAAAACAUACUGCUGAAAUUGAAAAUCUAGCUUGUAAAAGGAAUAAUAAUAGUAUUAGUAAAUUUUAGAUUGAGAGUUUUGAUCUAGGUCUUAAUAGUUAAAAAAGAAAUUCUACGCAAAUUACAACCAAUUUCAUGUAGGUCUUAAUAGUAAUAAUAUUUUAUAAAGUUAAACUUACAAACAUUUCAUGUAGGUCUUAAUAGUAAUAAAUUUUUUUUUAUAAUUUGAAGUGGAAAAUUUAUAUUAAAGCUUUUGCUCUCCACAUCAAUAAACUUAAUUUUGGCUUCCAAUUCUAGAAGCUCUGGAAAUUAAAUUUGCUCCCAAUUUUGGUUUUUCAAGUAAGAAUAUGUUCCGAAAACAUCAACCACCCAAACUUUUAAUUAAAACACUUAAUAGCAUAUUAAUUAAUCUUAAUAAAUUAAAUCAUGCUUACCUUAGAAAAGAAGCUUCACAAUAAUUAAUAGUGCACUCUCGUUACCUAACCCAUGCACUCACAGCAGAGCAAUUACUAUCUAGCGACGUGGAUGAGAUUAGAAUGAGUUAUUAGGAAAUUAAUUGCCAAAUGCGUUGGAUAAGACAAUGGUAAUGGUGACACCUCACCAAGCACAAAUAAAAGCUAGCUUAAUUAAUAAAUGAAAAAUGUAGAUAGAGAUAAAUGGUUACGUACGUGCACACACACAUGCACACAUACGACGCAGAGAGAGAGAGAGAGAGAGGAGGAAUUCUACACUGUCACACUUGCACCACGUCAAUAAUAACAAGUCAAUCACAUUUCAUUUUUCAAAUAAAAGUACAAUAAAAAUACUUUUUUACAAUCAUGAUGGGACAUAUAAUUUUAAAAGGAUUAAUUUGAUUGGUUUGUUACGCCACGUCACUAAUUUAUCCGUUGCAUUCUAAAAUUUUUUGAGAGAGAGAUAUGAAGCAUUAUUGAUAUGUAUUACUCAAAAGAACAACUUGAUAUGACUCGACAAUAGUAUAUGAAUACUUUCACUCUUGUGGGAGGUGGUGGGGAUGAUCAGGGGAACUUAUGUUAUAUGAAAUUGGACUCAGGAGCCAUCUUAAAAGGUAGGGAGUUGAUUGCGACUCAGCUAUGUAUAGGGCUGGCAAAUGAGUGAGCCGGUUCGCGUUCGACUCGAUAUUUGGCUCGCCCGAGCUCAACUCGAAAUUAAAUGAGCCGAGCUUGAAUAAAAAAAAAAGACUCGAAAUUCAUUUCAAGCCGAGCUUGAGUAUUACUCGGCUCGUUCGAAUUAGGCUCGAAAAGCUCGAAAAGCUCAAAUAUAUAUAUAUAUAUAUAUAUAUAUAUAUAUAUAGCUAUGCUACUAUGCUACUAAUAGCACCGAGUCAUUGGUGCUACCAAGUUUUCCGCCGUUAGAUCUACCCUUUUGAUCAUUUUCACCCGUUAGAUCAUACUAUUCAACCAACCACCACUCAACCCUAAAGGGCCCACAUCAUCCUAACCGCACAUCUCUUAAUCCAAUGGCCAUAUAUAUAUUUAAUAUUAUAUAUAUAUAUAUAUAUAUAUAUAAAAGCACGAUUAUUCAAUUUGGGCUCGUCGACAGACCCAUUUUUCGGCGGGAAACUUUAGAGAUUAUUGUUAAUUAUUUAAAAGCACGUAUAUUCAAAUUUUAUUUACUAACAGAUUUUAUUUUCUAUUUAAUUUCAAAAGUAAUUUUUGCAUUAGAGAUUAUUGUUAAUUAUUUAUCAUUUAAAGCAUAUCUUUCUUAUAGCGUGAUUUAUUAUUUUAAUUUUUAGAUACAUGUUUGGCAAUCAUAUAAAAUAUGGCCUAAAAUAAAAAAAUAAUUUAAAAAAUUAUAACUUUUUAAUAAUUAUUAUGUGCAUUUGCACGUACAUAUUUACUAGUAUAUAAUUAUAUAUAUAUAUAUAUAUAUAUAUAUAUAUAUAUAUAUAUUAUAUAUAUAUAUAUAUGAAUUAGGGCUGGAAUACUAUUAAUAGUAAAACGUUUUUUUUCCUAUCAAGUUUUUAACCCUUGGAUGAAAAUUGUAGGGUCAGGGUUAUAUUAGUCGGUUAGAGUUGAGUGGUCCCCUAGGGUUGAGUGGUCCUUACUGGGUUAUAGUAUUUAAUCAAUGGUUAAAAAUAAUGAAAGAGUUGAUCCAAAGGCUAAAAAACUGGUUGCAAUAAUGGAUUUUGCUACUAGCUAAUAGUAGCCCAGUCCAACUAUAUAUAUAUAUAUAUAUAUAUAUAUAUAUAUAUAUAUAUAUAUAUAUAUAUAGUAGAGCACUAUACUAUCGAAAGUAUAGAGAUCUGGUGCUUUCGAUUUUUUGAUUCUUAGAUCAAUCCCUUUAAUCGUCUUUUCUUAUUUUGGAUUAUAUUAUUAUUACCUUUUAGGGACCACUCAAUCCUAGGGGAGGCUGCAAUCAUCCCAACCAUACAAUUUUUAAUCAACGGGUCAAAAAUUCAAAAACAUCAAAUCCUCUAUAUUUUCGAUAGCAUAGUAGUCUACACUAUAUAUAUAUAUAUAUAUAUAUAUAUAUAAUAUAUAUAUAUAUAUAUAUAUAUUAUAUAUAUAUAUAUAUAUAUUAUAAUAUUAUUAUAUAUAUAUAUAUAAAAUAUAUUUUAAUUAUAUAUAGACUGAGUGAAUAAUUUGAGUUUAGUUAAAAUUGGGCUAAUGUUGUUGGCCCACAAAAACAAACCGAAUAGACAAAUAAAAGAGCAAAAUUUUACUAAAUUUAUAUAAUUUUCCUUUCUUUCUUUCUUUCUUUCUUUCUUUCACAGAGCUCUAAAUUUUCAAUAUAUUUCUCUCUUUCUUUUUUUCUGUCUCUCACCCUAAGUGGUCAAGCCGGAAGCCCUCCAAGUUACCAAGUAACAGCAUAUGCCCGCCGUUGCCUACCUUGCUAUUAAUUAUAUGCUUGAAAAAAUAUACAGAAUAUUUUUAAAGUAAAAUAUUAUUAUUCAUAUAAAAUUUCAAUUUUAGUUAUAUAUGAUUGGAUAAUUUAAUCCUAUAUUUAUUUAUAUAAUUUAUUUAUUUUUGACUGCAUAAAUAAAAAUGAAUAAUAUAGAGAUUGAAGGCGGAAGAAAAGACAUGUGAGGCUGAAAAAAUUAGAUAUUCAACUCAUAAAUUAUUUUUUUUCAUAUUAAAAUACUAUAUUUCAUAUAAUUAUUUUGUACUUUGAACUAUUAGACAUAUUUUUGUAUCAAAUUAUAGAUAAUGUUCUAUACAAAUUAAACUAUUGAUCAUAUAAUGUUGAGAAUUUCAAGCGGCUCGUUUAGGGCUCGAGUUCGCUCGACUUGAAAUUAGGAUCGCUCGAGUUUGGCUUGAAUUAAUUUCAAUCCAAGCUUGAGCUUAAAUUUAGGCUCGAAAUUAAUUUCAAGCCGAAUUUGAGCCGAGGUAAGCUCGCUCGAUCGAUUUCGGCUCAUUUCCAUCUCUAGCUAUAUAUCAUGUUACACAAGAGACCGAUCUGACGUUCUGAUUUUUAAAAAAGUCAUUCAUUCUAGAAUUACUUUAAUUUUAGCACGUUUAAUUUUUUUAAUAAUAGUUGGUGAUUAACCGGCGCUUAAAAUAUUAUGACCGGAUUACGAGAUUUAAUCAUAUUUUAUCUUAUAAACAAGACUAUUUUAAAUUCUGAAAAUGUCAUUUUUUUUAUUUUUGAAGCUCUGACGUUCUCGUCAAACUCAAGUACACUCAUAAGCAUCAGGCGAUAUGAAACUUGUCUCGCUAGGGAGCCGCGAUUCACUCAUAACGGUCAUUAGUUGGAGAACCCCACUUUGCCCGUUGUAUGAAACUAGCUCAGUCGAGAUUUAUCUUGUACUUCUGGUUGAUGAUCGGCGUUGAUACUAACGGUAACGUUCUACUUUUCAAAAAAAGUUACGCAUUCUAAAAUUACUUCAUCCUUAACACAUACAUUUACACCACAGAUUGGUCAAAAGCAGUUUUCAAAGAAUCAAGGUCAACUGUUUUAAGAGUCCACAUGUAAAUAAUUGAUACCAAAUAAAUAAUAAGAGUGAAGGAUUUGAUGUAUACAAGUAGACUAUGAUCUUAUAUGCUUUAGGUUUUAGAUUGAAUGAGUUCUAUUAGAUAUAUUAUAUUCUUGGACUUUAUCGAAAAUUUUCUAAUAAGCGGUAUCAGAGCAUAUAGUUGACAAUUCUGGAUUACUCGUACAACUAUGUAUGGUGUGGUUGAGUUCGAGCCUGUUUGUCUUAACAGUUGGAGAAGUGAUUCUUGGAGAAUUAAUUUUAGUUUGAAAUUUUUAUUUUGUUUAAAAAUUGUACAACAUUGGUUGAGUCUGACAUGAAAGCGAUUUUUCUGAAGUUAUUUAUAAACCUGUUUGGCAACUUUUUUUUUUUUUGUUGUUUGCAAAUAAUAAUUCUUUUCUAACUUUGUUAAAAACUUUGAAUACAAAAUUUUAAUUUAAAUGUAAAUUUAAAAAAUGAACCAAAUUUUAAAAUUUGAUAUUUAAAUUUAAAAUCAAAAUUUAUAUUUUAAAAUCUAAAAAAAAUUAAUUUAAUCUAAAUAUGAAAUUUGAAUAUGACUUCAAAUUUCAAAUUUCAAAUUUUAGGUUUUAAUUUUAAAAUUUCAAUUAAAAUCUUUAAUUGAAAAUUUUAAUUUUGAUUUUAAAUUUAAAUUCUGAUAUGUAGCACGUCUUUCGUGAUCCAAUACUAGUCACAGAAAAUACAAGCUAAGCAGCUAGUGGAUAAAACUUCAGUAAAAAAUUCUCCAGCAAUGUCUUAUUAGAGAGCUUUUGAUCUGUUGUUACGUAUUAAUUUUGUUUUAUUCAAUAAUUCGUUUGGUAGUUUUAAUAUUAAAAUUCAAAAAAAAUUUAAAGUCUUAAAAAAAAAUAAUUCUUGAAUAAAGAUAAGGGCGGCAUAUAGCAAUGAAUUGAGGCUUCUUGACGAGACGUUGUAAUAUUUUCUACAGCUAGUGGUAGUACUUCCAUUUUUUUUUUUUUAUAAUUUCAAAACUUAAUCGCGGAUAUAUUUUUUGAUGAUGCAAUGGAUCAAGAGCCUGAUUUCUCUAUCUUAUCUUAAUCCAACUGCUCAGCCUCGCAAUUAAUUACCUCAUACAUUGAAAUAAAUAAUCUAAUAAAUGGUUUUGGAUAACGCUAAUAAAUAUAUGGAGAGAAAUUAAGAUGUGAAAUUAUAAGAUAAGGUUUUUUUAUUUUCUAAAACAUAAAUUUUGUAUGAUUGGAUACGCCAAUAAAUAAAAUUAAUGUACUGUGACGGGUGACAAAUGAAAGCUUAAAAAAAGGAAAAAAAAAUUACAUUGAAAAUUUUAUAUCUUGUUACCAAAUAAAUAUGUAAUUUGGAAGCAAGAAUUGUAAUCAACCUGCCAUCCAUUUUUAUUUUUUUAUAUAAAAAUAUUAUUCAAUUGAAGUAUGACAAUAAUCUCAAACAAUGCCAUAAAAUUUUAUUUAAACAAGUAGUAGUAGCUAGUACUGAGCAUAAUUAUUUAAAAUUAUAUAAAAUAAUCACUUAUCUCUAAUCGAGUAAAAGUUUUUAGAAAACAACAUUUUGACAUUUUUAAUAUUUAUAUUAAUAUUUUUUUUUCUCACGUCUGAGUUGAAGAUAUUGAUAGACCAAAGACACAAGCUUGAAUCAAAUAAAAAAAGUAAAUAAAUAAUGUUAGUAGCAUGAUGGAUUGAACUUUUCAUAUUAAAUCGUAUGAAACAAUAGUUUAUCUUCAAUAAUUUAAAGUAAUAUUUUUAAUAUUUAUAUUCAACUAAUUAAAUGCGAGGGACAAAGCUACUUCCCAUAUUUGCUUGGAACUCUAAUUUAGAUUAAACUUCUAUAUAUUAU